rnacentral:lncRNA from 1 species
CUAAACUGAUACUUCUUCUGUUACAAUAUUGGAGUUUUAUUCUUCUUGGAGAGAGUGGAUUACCCCUCUUCUUGAAAUUCUUAAGGCAUUUUAUAGGUUGUGGAUUACCCUCCUAUAAACCAAUAUUGCCUCUUAUAGGGUCAUUUUUGUCCUUUUUUUAGAAUGGCCGGAGGUCAAGACAUUAGUAUGACAGAAAGUUCGGAGUCUAAGUUAGGUGUUAUUAUGAAUGCCCUCGCUACGUUAUCACAAAGAACUGCAGAGAUUGAAGGAGUGGUGGCAAGGCUUCAUAAUGAUGGAGUAUCUGGGAUAGCACAAUCUAAACUACACCAGCCUCAAAUUUUGGUACUUGAAGAAACAACUUUACCUCAGGUUCGACAAGAACCACUAAUUCUACAACAUAAGGAGCCUCGAGUUAGCCUUCCAGAUAAGUUUGAUGGAACACGUUCCAAGUUUCGAGGAUUCGUCAAUCAAAUCAGGUUGAUAACAGUUUUACAGCCCGAACGAUAUCCAACGGAGGAGUCACGUGUUGGGCUUAUUGGAACCUUACUUACGGGACAAGCUCUAUCAUGGUUUGCUCCUUUGUUUGAGAAACGAUCAUCCAUAUUAAACAACUUCGAAACCUUUUUGGAAGCAUUUGCAGAAGCAUUUGGUGAACACGAUAAGGUUCGAUGGGCUACAACAAAGAUCCGGUCGCUAUGACAAGGGAUGCGUUCUACAUCAGUCUAUGCUUCGGAUUUCAGGCAAUUAAUAUGCGACAUCAAUUGGGAUGAAGAAGCGCUGAUGAGUCAAUUCUAUUGGGGUUUAAGAGAUGAUGUGAAGGAUUUGUUGUUAACUCUUCCUGAUCCACGAAUGCUCAAUGAAGCCAUUAGCCAAGCUGUGAAGUACAAUAAUCGCCUAUUCCAACGUCGCCAAGACCAAUGCUCAAGACAACAUACAAUUCGCCAUGCUCCAACUAUGUCGGCAAGCAGUGUGAAUUUGCAUUCAGAGGUGGAAGACAUGUAAAUUGAUGCGGUACGUAUCAAAUCUCUUACUAUAGAAGAAAAAAAGUGACCUAUGGAGGAAAAUUUAUGCUUGUAUUGCGGUGGAGAAGGCCACAAAGUCGGAAACUGCCCCAAAAAGUAAAAUCGAGGCAUAGUCAAGAAUAGGGGAGUAUUUGUUCAGGAAAACGAGGAUGCCCAGCCACAGUAGGAACCGUGCGGCUGGACAAUGAAAUAUCCCAACAACAAUCAAGUUCCUUUCUUUCUGCCCAACUUGCACUUUGUUUUACAAUCCCUCUGUUUAUCGGCCCUCAAAAACUGAGAACCUUAGCACUACUAGACUCAGGAGCAUCUGCUUGUUUUUUAGACGAAGAAUUUGUAAAGCGUCAUAAGAUCCCUUUAGUACAAAAAUCAAAACCUGUUCAUGUUGAGGUCAUAGAUGGGCGACCUUUAUUGUCUGGUAGCAUCACCCAUGAAUCAAAACCUAUAGAAGUAACGUUUAAAGACCAUAGUAGUCAUAUUAUUUUUAAUAUUAUUAGAACUCCAUCAAAUCCUAUUAUUCUUGGUCUUUCUUGGUUGGAAAAACAUAAUCCAUUGAUAGAUUGGAGGUUGCGGAAGAUGACUUUUCCCACAAAACCACCCAGGAAAAAACCUAGUAAAAAACCUCGAAAAAAGAAAUCCUUAUUCAUUGGAGCAAGAGCGUUUAUAAGAUCAUCUAAAGAAGGCACUCCAUUUGUCAUUUAUGCGGCUCCAACUACCGAGGAGAAGAUCUCAACAGCAAGUAUACCGGAGCAAUAUAAAGAUUUUGAAGACGUGUUUCAAAAGAAGAACGCCGACAUACUACCGGAACACCGACCAUAUGAUUGUGCCAUAGACUUGCAAGAAGGAGCACAACCACCUUUUGGCCCAAUCUACAAUCUAUCGCAAACGGAGUUGACAGAGUUAUGAAAGUACAUCGACGAGAAUCUAGCCAAGAACUUCAUUCGUCAUUCAAAAUCAUCAGCUGGAGCACCCAUCUUAUUUGUGAAGAAGAAAGAUGGAUCAUUACGGAUGUGUGUGGACUAUCGAGGCCUCAACAAGGUAACAAAGAAAAAUCGUUACCCAUUACCCUUGAUUUCUAGUCUCUUAGAACAACUUGGACGUGCGAAGAUCUUUACAAAAAUUGAUCUAAGGGGAGCUUAUAAUCUCGUAUGAAUCAAGGAAGGAGAUGAGUGGAAGACAGCAUUCUGUAUAAGGUAUGGUCAUUUCGAAUAUAAUGUCAUGCCUUUUGGUCUUAUCAAUGCUCCAGCAGUUUUCCAACAUAUGAUGAAUGACAUCUUUCGAGAACACCUCGACAAUUUUGUUGUCAUCUACUUGGACGAUAUUCUAAUAUUCUUUAAAAACAAGGAAGAGCAUGAGGAGCAUGUUCGUUUGGUCUUGGAGAAACUAUGCAAGCGAGGACUAUAUGCCAAAUUAGAAAAGUGUUUAUUUCACCAGACGGAGAUGGAAUUUUUGGGGUUCAUUGCGACUACAGAAGGUUUGAAGAUGGACCCCAAGAAAGUAGAAGCAAUCAUGUCUUGGGAGGUUCCAAAGACGGUUAGAGACGUACAAUGCUUUCUUGGUUUUGCUAACUUCUAUCGGAUCUUCAUCAAGAAUUAUUCUCAAGUUGCUGCUCCUCUCACUCGAUUAACAUGCAAGGAUAAGUUGGAAUGGGGACCUUUGGCGGAGAAGGCGUUUCAAGAUUUGAAGACAGCAUUUACUACAACUCCAAUUUUGGUACAUCCAGACUUUACAAAGGCCUUCUAUUUAGAAACUGAUGCUUCAGAUUUUACUUUGGGAGCUGUGCUUUCACAAAUGAGUGAAGAUAAGAAGCUCCAUCCAGUUGCAUUCUAUUCUCGAAAGUUCUCUGCUGCUGAAAUCAAUUAUGAGAUCCACGAUAAGGAACUUCUUGCUAUAGUGGAUUCUUUCGAAGAAUGGCGUCACUUUCUUGAAAGAGCUGCACAUCCAGUAAUCGUACAUACGGAUCACAAGAAUUUGGAGUAUUUCAUGAUGGCUCGAGUUUUAAAUCGACGUCAAGCUCGGUGGAAUAUGUCGCUAUCUAGAUUCGAUUUUGUUAUCACUUAUCGACCUGGAAGGCAGCAAGGACUAUCCGAUGCUUUAUCAAGGAGAUCGUAUCUUGCACCAAAGGCUGGAGAAGCAGCGUUUGAUCAACAAUGUACAACGUUAUUGAAGCCAGAGAGAUUUUAACUUUGUGCUACUAUUGUAUCAUUUGAUGCUGACUUCCUAAACCAGGUACGUGCUAUGACCAUUAAAGAUUCAGUAGCCAUUGAUAUCAAGCAACAUACCAAUGACGACAAGUUCAAGGUGGAGGGAGAUCUUUUAUACUUUGAAGAGCGAUUGUACAUUCCAAAAGGACUAGCCCGACUUCGAGUUCUUCAAUCUCGCCAUGAUUUUCCAGCUGCGGGAUAUUUUGGAUUCAAGAAGACCUUAGAGCUUAUUUCCCGAGAUUUUUGGUGGCCCCAAAUGUGGAAGGAUGUGAAAGAUUUUGUCCUCUCUUGUGACAUCUGUUCAAGAUCUAAGAAUCCUCGGCAUCGCCCUUAUGGACUUCUACAGCCAUUGCCAAUUCCACGUCGACCAUGGUCUUCAAUUUCUAUGGACUUCAUCACGGACUUGCCAUCAUCAAACUCAUUUGACAGCAUCUUUGUCGUGGUAGAUCGGCUUACGAAGAUGGCACACUUUGUUCCUUGUAAGAAGACAUCAUCCAGUGAAGUCACAGUAAGGCUCUUUCUCGAUAAUGUGUAUCGAUAUCAUGGACUACCAGAUGAUAUCAAAUCAGAUCGAGGUACCCAAUUCGUGUCAAAGUUUUGGAGAUCUCUCUUUGGGAUAUUGAAGGUAGAUAUCAAGCUUUCUUCAGCUUUUCAUCCUCAAACUGAUGGCCAAACGGAACGGGUGAACCAAGUCUUGGAGCAGUACUUACGAUGCAGCAUCAACUAUUAGCAAGACCAUUGGACUACAUAUCUACCGCUAGUCGAGUUUGCAUAUAACAUCAUCCUCCAUGCGUCGAUUCAAUAAACACCAUUCUUUUCGAACUAUAGGUAUCAUCCGAAGCUUGAUUUAUUGAGUCCGUGAACAAAUAACAAUCCAGCAGCUCAAGGAUUUGCAAAGCAACUAUCAGAGCUUCAAACUAUGUUGAAGCUUCAAUUACAAUCCGCUCAAGAAUCCUAUAAGACGUCUGUAGAUAGAUUUCGGAAUCUUGCACUUACUUUCAAAGUUGGAGACAAAGCUUGGCUUCUUCGACGAAAUAUCAAGACCAAGCGACAAUGUGAUAAGUUGGACUAUCAAAGAUUGGGACCAUUUAUCAUCCAAAAGCAAAUUAAUCCAGUGGCAUACCGGCUGGAGUUACCGGCUUCUAUGAAGGUACAUCCAGUCUUUUAUGUUUCUCUGUUGGAACCUUAUCGAGAGUCAUCUUUUCCUGGAAGAGUGCAAUGUCCGCCACCUAGUAUUGAAAUCAAGAACCACAAAGAAUACGAGGUUGAAAAGGUAUUGGAUUCACGGCGAAGGUGGCAAAAGUUAGAAUAUCUUGUUCAUUGGUGUGGCUAUGACAUUAAUGAGCGAACGUGGGAGCCAACUGAAAAUCUUACGAAUGCGCUACAAAAGGUACAAGAGUUUCAUCAACGACAUCCCGAUAAACCUAAAUCAAUUCGAUGAUAGCUUCUUUCUGAAGCUUGUUCUCCCAACAAUAUAAGAAAAGGGGAGAGCACCAGCAAAAUUCAUAAUUGAUGUAGUUAUUUUCUCCAAGAUAGAUCGUAAUUUGGUCUUUUGAUAUGGAUAGCCAAGAGAUAGAUACUAUGCCAGUCAGAGUAUCGCAAUCGAGUAGCUCACGAAGGCAACCCCGAGAUGAAGAACUACAUGUACCACGAUAACGACGGAGGAUACCGAGUAACCGAUCACUGGUGAUCGUAUUUGAGAUCGAGCCUACUUACGAUGGUCAACUAGAAGGCGUAUUUGCAGAACAAUUUCACAAUGAGGACACGGAAGUUGAUGCUUGGUCAAAAGUCGAAGGCGUGGACCACUACCGUUUGCUUCAAGGAUCGAUGAACCACUUGCCUCGUGAACAACAGUUGGAGUUCAUAGCAGAAGUUAUGCGACAGAUCUUCAUUUUCUUGCGUUGGUACUGAUCAACAACAUUGCUUCUCAGAGACCUCGAAGCUAAAGGAGGGGGUGAUGUUAGGGACAUAUUCCUUAGAACUUUCUAGAGAGAAGUUUCUAGAACCUUCUAGAAAACAAGCCUCUUGAACCUUCUAGAAGAGAAGCCUCUGGAACUUUUCAGAGAGAAGUUUCUAGAAGCUUCUAGAAAGGAAGUCUCUGGAACCUUCUAGAAGAGAAGUUUCUAGAAGCUUCUAGAAAGGAAUCCCCUGGAACUUUCUAGAAGCUUCCUAGUUAAUAAAAGUAGCUCGAGAAGUUUCUAGAACCUUCUAGAAAGGAAGCCUCUGGAACCUUCUAGAAGCUUCCUAGUUAAUAAAAGUAGCUCGAGAAGCUUCCUAAGUAGGAGUAUAUAUAGGGAUCGAGGCUGAAGAGUUUUUCAGUCUCGACAACACAUCUCUUGGAGUUCUAGCUCACCUUUCUGGUGUUGUUCUUGUACUCAUCUGUUUAAUCUAGUUCUGCCACUUCUUCUUGAACUUCUUGUUAGAUUUCAAGUCUGUAUUUUGUGUCCGUGACAAAAGGAUAUGGUUUGGUGUAGAUGUUGAAGUAGCUCCAACCAUUUCUAUAUCUUCACUUCCUGCCAAUCUUGUUGCUCCUUGUGGUGGUAAAUUGAGUUGAUGCAUCACAAGUAUUAACUUCCUCAAUUGCUCUUGCAUUUGUGCCAUUGCAUUCUUCAUUUCAACAAGUUCUGCCAUGAUAACACGUAAAAAAGAGAAGAUGUCUAAUAUCGCUCAAGACAAAUAGAAGAGAGGACUUGAGAACAAAGAAAAUACUAAGGACAAUAUCAGUUUAGAAGAGGGUAAUCCACAACUUCUAAUAUGCUUAUAUCUUAUCAAGAAAAAGGCAUAAUCCACUCUUAAUCAAGAUUAGACAAAGCUCUGAUAUUGUAGGUAUACUCUUGUCAAUCUGUCAAGGACAAGAACUCGAUAAAAAAACAAUCCUGAUAAGUGAGCCUUCACCCAAAGAAAGGUAACAAUAAAUAAGAAUGUAUAUUGAAAGAGAAAUUAGAAUGGCUAUUGCCAAAUGAAAAAAAAACUAGAGACCCUCGAAACUAGACUAGAAGCAAGAAAGGAAUUGACAAGAGUGAAGAAGCCUUCACUCUUGUCUCUAUAUAUACUAUCUAACUAGGCGCUACAGGGUGACAUUCUAUAGGACCUCCAAUAUGUGUUGACUUUGUAGGACACAUGCCUUGACUUACAAGGCAAGUUUUUCUACGUGUAGACCAUAUAGUUAGUUUGAUCUUCAAGCUAACAACAUGUGUGGCACAUGGCCAACUUAUUGACUACGUUUCUAAUCCAAAAAGUCAAUUAAAGACACCUAUGAAGUCAAUGCAACGUCUAUGAAGCUUUUAGGAAGCUUCUAUAUUAAAUACCAUAGAAUUAACUUACUUUUACCUACUUUUACUUAUUUCUACCUAUUUGUAUAUGUAAUUAUUAGCUUACAUGAAUAUGUCCGUGACAGUAAUACUCCAUAAGCAUAUAUAAGGAUAUAGAAUUUUUUUUUAUCAUAUUAUGGAGGUUUUUGGAACUUAAGACUUAUAUAUUUGGUUUGAUUACUCUUAAAAGUGUUAUAUAUAUAAACUUAGUCUUUCUUAUGAUAAGACUUAAUUGAGCAAUUAUUGGCAACUUGAAAUCCAUUGCUUUUUUGAGGCAAAUUCUCUCUACCUUGACAACGUCUUGAUAAUAUAUCUCAUAAUCUUUAUUGACUUCUAGCUUGAUAUGUGUUGUAAAAAUCAAAUUAUAAUAAUGAUAUACUCUAAUUCACUUAGUGAUAAUUCAAGAUUCUAAUUGACAUGAAGUAUUUAAGUUUCUUGUAAUCUAUAUAUACACUCACCAAAUAAGAGAUGCCUUCAAGAAAGUGGAACCAUUUUUAGAAAGAAUCCAUGAUGGCAAGUAACUCUUUAUUAUCGAUUUCAUAGUUGAUUAUUGUUGCUAAAUUUUUUCUUAAAUAGAAUGUAAUUAGGUGAAGUUUGUCAUCUUCUCCGUAUUGCGAGAAGAUUACUCUCAAUGCUAAGUAUGAGGCAUUUUUUUCUAUAAAAUAGGACUUGUUAAAAUCUGAAUCUAAAUGGUCAUAUACAGUUCUUCAUUCUACUUCGACAAAGUCUCUAUCUUGAUCGUCAAUGCUUCAAGAGCAUUAAUAAUAGAAUCUAACUUGAUCUCUUUGGAAUUUAUCAUUUUGAUUUUUUUACUUUUUGUCAUAGAAAAUCAGAGAAACAGAGGCAUUCAAAAGAAAAAAAACCUAAUCAAUGGUAUAAAGAAAAAAACCAAAAGAAUAUUAAGAAAAGAAAAAUAUUAGUCUAGGGUUGGAUAAUCCGCAACCUCUAGAAUGAUAAAGUACUUCCAAAAAGAGGAGUAAUUCACUCUCUGUCAAAAAAAACAACUUCUAAUAUUUUUUUAUGGCAGUUUUGAUAAACUGUUAGAGACCAUAUACAAGACAAGAAUUCAAGACCAACAAAUAGAAUUAACUUCACAUUAGAACAAUAAUUGGAUACAAGGCAAGAAGGUCCUAGUUAGAUGACAAGAAAUGAAUUGUCGAAACUGAGAAUCUCCUCAAUCUUGACUCCUAUAUAUAGUAGGUUCUAAAAAACUUUUUAAAAAAUUUCUAUGAGGUUUGGAAAAAAAGCAAGCCUAAGAUCCUUCUUUAGUAAUUUCCUAAAUCAUCUAAAGCCUCUUGGAACCUUUGAAGAUCUCCUAUGACCUUUUUAAACUAACUUAGAAUCACUUAGAAUCUUUUAGAACCUUCUUAGAAUCUAUAAGAAUCUUCUAGAAUUUUUUAGAAUCUUCUAAGAUCUUCAAGAACCUUCUUAGAACCUUUUAGAAUCUCCUAAAACCUUCUUGAACCUUCUUUAGUUGUAUAUUUGUGACAAACAACCUUCUUGAAGUAUGAUCUUAUACCUUAUUUUUCAAUUAAUAAAAGAACAUUGGAAUUAUUAUAGGUGCUUGGUUUUGUGCCUUAGAGUCUGAUUUUGAUCUUGAUUCACAACCAAUCCUCUUGAAGUAUCAAUUUUUGAUAUCUUGAGGUUAUUUUUACUACAAACUAUUCUUAAUUCUUUUUUAAAGUUUCUUAUAUCAUUUAUUUUUCUAUUAUAUUUUUUUUUCUUCAUUUAUGGCUAUAUAAAAUAAAUAGAAGUUUUAUUAUAAAAAGAAAAUAUUAAUACAAAAAGAUUUUAUUAUCUUUCCAUCUUUUAUUCAUAUUUUAUUAGUAUAUCUUUCAAUUGGACUCUUUUAUAAUUAAAUUCAUAUUUUUAUAUUUUAUAAUGUAAUUAUAUUAUAAUAUAACAUUAUUUGAUACUAAUCAUAAAAUAUGAAGUAGCUACAUAACAUCUAUAUUUGUAGACAUACAUGGAUAAUGGAUAAAUAGAAGAAAAAAAAAUUAAAGUGCAAGUUAGAUACUUAUGUUACAAAUUUAUUCUUUAAAAGUUGAUGUUUCAUCAUAUUUUCAAUUCAUUUUUAUCCACGGUUUAGAUUUAAUAGAAAAUUAACAUGUUAUGACUUAAAAUUCUACACUUUGAUUUAUUAAAUAUCACAAACUUACAAAGAAGUUUUUAAAAUUUUUAAAAAAUCGUUUACAUUACAUUAAAUUUUUCUAAAAUAUUUUUAGAACUUAAUAAAAGAAAAUCAAAGUAUUUAUGAAAGAAGUAAUAGUAUAUUUGUCACAAUUAUAGAUUUUUAUGAUUUUUUUAAUACUCUUUAAACUUAAAUGUCAUGUAUGAGCAAUUGUAAUUAUAGAAGCUAUAUUUCAAUAUCUAUGGAAGAUAUUAAUAAUAAAAUUUAAAAUUUAUUUCAAAAAGUUAUGCAAAUAUAAGUAAAUAAGCAUAAUAAUUUUAUUAUAAUAUCAUUUCUACAAGUUUAUAGAAACCAAAGAUAAACAUGGUAAAUUUUUUUUAUGGUACUAGAUUAAGAUUUUGAAGAUUUUUACAAAAAAUUAAGUUUUUCUAAUACCUAUACUUAUCUGAAUAUAUUUUGAUGGUAUUACUUAAGUAGAUUUUAUAAAUAAAAUUUUAUUUGAAAGUACUCUCUUUUAAUUUUUACUAUUAAUAAAAAUAGAUUUAAAGCUAUUAUAUGAUCUUAAUAUAUUUUUAGAGGUAUUUAUUAUAAUAUUUGAAAAUAUCAACCAAAAAUGAGUAGCAAAAAUCAAAAUUUAAUCUUUUUGAUAAUGAUCAUGUUUUAUUGCUAGAUGCAUUGCUAAAUUUUAAAAACUCAAAUACAAUGUGGAUUGGAAUACCAAAGCCUUAAUUAAUCAAUUUUAAUAUGGGUUGAAAGAUAACGUAAAGGACUUAUUAUCAAUAACAUCAAAAACUAAUUUAUUAGAGUAAUUUAUUACAAAAGUAAUUGUAUGUGAUAAUUAGCUAUUUGAAAGAUGUCAAUAGCAAUGAUUUGGUUAGAUAGGAGCAAAUCCAGCUAUAGCAUUUAUUUAUAAAAUUAUAUAAAAUUAUUCAUUAAGAUUUGAACUCAUUAAAAUUAAUACUAUUUAAUUUAAGUAAUUAAUUAUAAAAGAAUAAAAUAGAUAUUAACUUAAAAAUUUAUAUUUGUAUUGUAAGAAAUUAGGUCACAAGAUAUAAGAUUAUUGUAUAAAAUCAUAUGGAUUUAGAAUUCAAGGCAUAAAUUCAAAGAUAAAAAGGUUGAAAAACAAAGUAGUUUGAUUGUAGUGAAAACCUUGCAACUAGAUAAUUCUACACUUCAACCAUCAAAUACAAGUCUUAUAAUACCACUAAAUCCUAUACCUUAUUUUAAAUUUUUUAUUUGGAUUAAAACACAAAUGUGUGAAUUUUUAGUCAAAUUUCUUUUAGAUAUUAGAACCUCAAUAUGUUUUAUGGACAAAGAUUUUUUAAUACAUCAUAAUUUGGUACUUAUAAAUAAAAGUUGUUUUGCACCAUUGGAGGCAAUUUAUGGUCGAUAACUUGUAUCUAGAGGUAUUGUUGAAGAAACUAAUCUACUAAAGGUGGUACUAGAAAAUCAAAUAUCAAAGAUUGUUUUUGAAUAUCAUUUAAUAACCUUCAAAUCAUGUGGUAUUUAAUCUUUUUUGGUUUAAAUUUUAUAAUCUUGAUAUUGUUUAGAGAUUGAAAAAUGUUUCAUCACAAUCAAAUUUUUAAAUAAGUAAGUAAUUUUGACCUUUAUUUAUGGAAGCCAAAGCUUUUAUGUGAGCCACUGAGAAAAAUAUGACAUUUGUUUUUAUACAAUACCAAUGACACAUCAAUAAUACUAUCUUUACAAAUCAUCUUUAAUCUUAUUAAUAUAUUUUUUUAAUAUUCUAAUCUUAAUUUAAGAUUCUUUAAUCUUUUUGUAAUAAAUAAUAAUCAUUUUGAUUCUUUUUUAUUUAAUAGCUAUCUCUUCUUCAAUAAUCUUUGAAUUUUUUCUAAAUUCAUGUCUUUAGUAAUAAAUGAAAUUUAAAAAUUAAAUGCUAUAAAUUGUAAUUAAAAUAAAAUAUAUAAAUUCUAUAGGACCUUCAGCACAUUGUCAUAUGGCAUGAUUUUUUAUUUGAGAAUACACUAGAUAUCUAGCUGUAGAGAAUUUAGCUUUAACUUAUUGAUCAAGGUCCAAUAAGUAUUUAUUCCUAUUAUAAAAGAUAAAUAAAUAUAACAAUAAAGAAAGAUAAUUUAAUGAUAAAAGUCUUUUAUAUUUAAGAAAGUUUGUAUACAAGGCUUUCUAAAGCAUAUUUUAAUUUGUGAAAAAAGUUUUUUAUAUGUGCUUUAUGAGCCCAAAUUCUACGACUUUGUGAAACUAAUGCUAUACAAUAGAUUUUAGAGGUAGAAAAAAAAACUCUUAAUUGUAUAAUUUCUAAAUUAAUUCAUUGUAGGUGUUUGUAAUUUAAUUUAACUUACUAUCUUUCAAACAAUGGUUACCAAUAUUAAUUGAUAUAUUAUUAUUAUUAUUAUUAUUAUUAUUAUUAUUAUUAUUUUAAUUAUUAAUUUUAAUAUAGAUAUAUAAAUAUAAAUAAUAUUAAUAAUUUAUUGAUUCACUUUAGAUUAUAAAAGUUAUUUUUUAUAUAGAAAAAAGAAAAGAAAAUAAUAUAAAAAUAAAAAUAGAAUAAAAGUAAAAAAUAAAAUAAAAGAAAAAAUAAAGAAAAAAUUAAAAUAAAUUAAAGAUUGGAAGUUAAAAUUUGAGUUAAGAUUAAGUCAAAAGUUAGAAGGUGCAGAAUAAAAAGAAAGAAAACAAGGUAAAGAUGAAAAGAACUUACCUCAACUGUGCUCUACUUGAUGGCAUCAGACCCCUUUCUAUUCCAAAAUUUUUCUAAAAAUUUGAAUUACGUCCAAAUCUAAUGAUUCUUAGUUAUUUGAAAAUCUAACUUUAAGAUUCUACUGCUUCAAAAAUCUUUUUAGCAAUCCGAUACUUGAACAACAAAGAAUAAUUUGACCUUAGCCUUCAAAGCUCAAAUGACCUUGAAAGAGAAAUCCUAAUCCUUAAUAAGGCCUCAGGUAGCCUCCUUGAAGCCUAUUGGGCAUGGCCUUCAAUCAAUAGGAAUGAAGUUUCCUAUUCCUUGCCUUCAUCCAACCAUGCCUUACUUUCAUCCCUCGUAAUAAGCCUCCUAUUAGUUAAUAUUUUCUUUUUUAGACUCUAAUCUCCUCUCAAGGCUUUAUACUAAAUAUUUAGGUCUUACAAUUUUUUUUUAAAAUUAUAUAAUCAAAAAAGAUAAAACUCAAAAUAAAAUUUCUUAAAUCCACUCUCUUUAAAUUAAUCUAUUAAUCAUUCUAACAUAUAUCUAGAUUUAUUAACAUAUAAUAUAUUUUUACUAAUUUUUACAUACUAUAAAUUUUUCCAGUAUGAUAACGUCAUCGAUAAAUAAUUCUCCAUGCAAUAAGACAUCAUUGAUAGGCUGAUUAUGCAAUAUAUUGGAUAAAUGGGACAUGUGGUCUGCAUUGGCAUGUUUAUUUUAUGGUCUGAUAUUGAUAGUGAAGUUAAAUUCUUAAAGUAGUAACAUCCAUUGACCAAUGCAUCCACUCAAUUGAGGUUUAUUAACCAUAUACUUAAGAGCAUUGUGAUUGACAUGAAAUACAAAGUUAUAACCAAGCAAAUAAUACCAAAAAAUUUUAACAGAAUAAAUCAUGCUCAAAGCUUUCCGUUUAGUUGUAGUAUAAUUUUGUUUACUUGUAAUCAAUUAUUGACUAGCAUAUGGUCUUGUCCUUCAAAAUUAUUACACCAAAUAUUGGGGCGCAUAUUGAUCAGUUUACGCCUCUUCUCCUUAUCUUUUAUCAAAUUAACAUUCAAUUCGUCCAUCUUCUUUGUCAAUGUUAACAACAAGGCAUAAUUUUGAUCCUUCAAAAUUAUUUCAUUAGAUAACUCUUUUGUAGGUACUCGUUUUUGAUAUAGAAGGUAUGACAAAUAUGAAACUAUUACUAUUAGUAGUAUAGCCUGUAAUGGAAUAAAAUUAAUUAUUUUCUAUAGAUUAGCACUAAGAUUUGUAUCAUAAUCAAUCAUUCUUAGAUGAAAUCAUCAUGGCUCCUGUGGUUAGGAAUUCAUUAUAAUGACAUUCUUUCCAAACUUUAGUUCAAUCAAGUGAAGAAGCAAUAGUAGCUAAUUGAGACUCGUUUACAAAUAUCUUCAAUUCUAGUGGAUAUAAUCCAUUAACCAAUAUAGACAAAACAAACGAAUUUGAUAUUUGGUUAUUUUGCCAUUUAUAAAAGAUAUUUGCUACUUAGCCAUAAUAUUACUGCAUCACUUCUUCUGAUAACAUUCUACUAUUCAUUAACCUUUUCUUGAGAUAUUUUUAAAAUCCAAUUGGUCGAAAAUAGAUUAAAAAGAUGUUUUUUAAUGCCUCCCAAUUAAGGAACUAGUCCACAGGUUGGCCAUUAUACCAUUCAAAUUCUGUAUUUUUUAAGGUCGCUGACAGCCAUUUCAACCAAAUAUCUUCAGUUCUACCAUUAUUGGCUAUACAUACAAUUAAAAAUUAAGACAAAUAUUGAUCUGGAUCUGUACCUGAAAAACCUCUAAAAGUAAAUAAUGGAGCUAUAUUAGUUGUGCAAUCACCUAUUGCACCCAAUUGAAUCGCAAUUGUAACUGUUGGGUCCUCUGCUGCCAUUGAAGAUGUCAAUGUUCUACUUAAUUUCUUAUUAAAAUAAAUAUUAUCUUCUCGAGAUAACUUUUUUGGACUUUUCAGCCUACUCAAUUUGCUAUUAUUAUCUAUAAAUAAUUUUAUUAGUUGAAUUAGAAGUAAAAACAAUGGAAUUUGAAACACACUAAAUUGGUUCUUAUUGGCAAGCAAUUUAUGCCAUUCUAAAGAACCAAUCUUACUAGAAUUAGCUGUAUCUACUAUUAGAAAAGUAUCCAAUGGAGUAUCCAAUCUUUCUGUGCCUCUUUCAUUUGAGUUAACGAAUUCAAGAGAUAUGCUGAAUAGAUGAUAGAAUUUCUUACGAGUAUUCUUGAUAGUUUUUUUAAUGAUAUAUAUGUUUGAAAUAUUAAUGGUUUUUCAGGUUCUUGGUAUGCUCGGAUAUCUCGAUAGGCAUGCAACCAUAGUUUAAUCCAACUCUAUCAAUGCUUCUUUUUUAGAUUACAUUCUUGCUUGUCCUGCAAUUUUUUUUUUUUUUUGUUUGUGCUCUCUCUUAUCUUCCUUUCAACUAGCGUGUUUUUUUUAGUGCAAAAUUCUCAUUCUUAUUAGCUAUAAUCUUUUAUUGUAUCAUACUGAAAUUACUUUCUAUUUCCAAUUUAACUACACAUUUGGCUUCACUUUCAAACCAACAUCAAUUUUGUAACCUCUUUGUGUGACAUCUACAACUACAUGUUUGGUAGUUAAAUCCUAACACUCAAUACUAUUGUCAAUUCUCCAAUAGCAGUGCCAAAAUGUGAUUACUAUUUUACUUAUUCUGCACUAAUCUAAUUGAAAUAAACCUGUGUAGAAAGAUUUGAAUACAAAAAAAGAUGUUCCACAUCAAUUUUCACGUUAGGAUCGCACAAUUAAUUGUCUCCUGAUCAACUAAACAACCAAAAAAGCUAUAAUGCCUUCUACAUUCUAUCAAUUAAAAUAUUGCAAUCAAUAAUUCUAUUUUAUGCAUUCAUUGUCUCUUCUCUUCUCUUAACUUAUGACAACAAUAUGUAAUAUUGCACUAUCAUAAAAUAUUGCAUAAAAUAUUUCAUAAUCUACUCACUGGAAUUCUCCAAAAUUAAUUGUCAUUCCUAGUAAUCUGCUUUACACAAUUAUAGAUUCCAUAGACUUCUUCUUAUGGCACACUUUCAACUCUCAAAAAUUAAUAUAUUAUAAUUCUUCUAAUCAUAUCCAUACUUCACAAACAUCUUUAAUUAUUGACUUUCCAAUCUUUCAAUUAUAAUUCAGUACAUGAUAAAUUCAAUUUCUCAUUUGACAUCACAUAAAUCAAUUCUUUCUUUCAUUCUAAAAUUUUACUUCACAUUAAUCAAAUGCUAUCCAUUAUUUUUUUCUAUAAAUAAAACAAAGAAACAAAGAGGUAGCACCAAGCUUAUCAUGGUUCAUGACUAUCAAAAUCUAGCUCCGUCUACUUCUUCAAACUACUUAUGCUUUCUUUGAAAUGCCAAUCACUACACAACCAAUGAUAACUAUUUUUUUUACUACAUCAUUCAUCCUACCUUCUAAACUAUGCAUUCAUUAGUUUACUAGCUUCUCUUAAUCCUACAUAUUAUGUAUCGUAAAAUAAAAAAAAUCCUACUCAUUCUACAAUUACCUUUUAGUGUAAACUUUAGACUUUAUUAUUGACUUCUUCUAUGGAUGUAAAAAUAGUACUUCCAUGUUUUACAUUAGAAAUAUGUAAGAUUUUUACUUUCAAAGCAUUUAUAAGCUUAUAAAGAUCAACAAUAGUUGCAAAUCUAUUUUUACUUCCACUAAGAAUAACAUCUAUAAUCUUUCCUUUCAUAAAUAAUUUAAAUAAAUUCAAAAAGUUAAAUUAGAAGAAGAUAAUCCACAACCUCUAAUAUUAAAUAAAAAUUUCUACAAAGAGAAGUAAUUCACUCUCUUUAAGAAAAAAAUCAGUGUUAAAAAAUUAAGAAAUCAGUUUAAAGGUGGAUAGUCUGAAAACUUUAAAUUAAAUCAAUAGAAGUGGGAUAAUCUAUUCACUUCUAAAAUAAGAUAUAAAUAAUAAGUUAACACUCUUAUCAAACUAUUAAAGACAUGAAUUUCAAUGAAAAAAAUCCUCAAUAUACUCUUGUGUCAUUCAAAAAGAUUAAUAAAUCAUUCAAAGAUGAUAUAAUAUUAAGCUAAAAUGGCUAUUAUCAAAGAAAAGAAGAUUAAAAAUUUUUGAAACAAGACUAAGGACUAAAAAAACAUUGACAAGAAUAAAGAAGGCUUCACUCUUGCCUCUACAUAUACUAUCUAACUAAAAGCUAUAUGACAAUAUUCUAUAAGACCUUUGAUACAUGUUGACUUUUUUAGAUACAUGUUAUAAUUUAUAAAGAAAUUUUUCUAUAUAUAUGCUACAAAGUUAGCUUGUUCCACCAACACAUGUAAUAUGUGGCUAACUUUUUGAUAAAGUUUUUAACCUAUCAAUUAGUUAUAAACAUGUAUAAAAUCAAAGCAACAUCUAUGAAGCUUUUAAAAAGCUUUUUUAGAAGAUAUUAUAAAACUAAUUUAUUUUUACCUACUUCUACUUAAUCAUAUAGGUAAUUAUUAGAAUAAAUAUAUAUAUUUGUGAUAAAAACUUAAAUUUUAAUAAAACUCAAAAUAUUUUUAAUUUUUAAUAUAUAUCAUUUAUUUUAUUAAAAAUAUUAUUUGUAUAUUUUUUUUAUCUAAUUGAUGAUAUUCCUUGAUGUCUUCAUUGCUUUUAAUAUUCACAUUUUUUUUUAAUUCAAUUAUGUUCAAAUCUAAUGACAUUAAAUUCAAAAAUAAAUUUGCAAUGUAAAUUUGAAUACCUCAAAACUUGCUUCUUCAUUGCAAGUUUUAGUGGCCAAUGAAGUGAUUCUUUAAAUUCAUGGUAAAAAUAAAUAAGUUCAAAAAAAUACAAGUUUAAAGAAAAAAUACAAGCAAUUGAUUAUUUAAAAGAUUAUUAAUAGUGAUUCUUAAAUUUCUAUAAUCAUUAAUGGCAUGGAUGCCAUUGUAGCAUUUGUAAAAGCUAAAAUAAGAUAAUUUGAAAUCUUGAUAUAGUGUAGCCUUCUUUGCUUGAACUUUAAAUUGGCACAAAAGAAUAGACCAGAUUUUAAUGAUUUUUUAUAAAUUUUUUGAAAACUUGGGAGUUAUUAGAAGAUGCUUCAUACAAGUAAUAUUAAAAGAUUUAUAUGUAUAAAAAUAUGUCUGUGAUAUAUUAUUAAUAAGAAAGAAGAUAUGAUUCUCUUGUGAUAAUUUAAAGCUUUUAGAAAAAUCAUCUCUAUUAUAUGUCUCCAAUAAAAGUAUCUUGUACUAGCAAUGAGUUUGAAGUUUUUUCUCAUCACUGAAAUUUUUCACAUCAUCUUCUUCUUUAUGUGAAUAAAUGAUUAUUUCUAAAAAAUACUCAUUUUUUCACAAUGUCCAUAUUAUUAUUAUUUUCUAUUUUACAUCUCUAUAAUUAAUUAUUAUAGCAAAACUUAUUUUGGUCUAUUAGUGUAAAUAAGAAAGAUUUCAUUCAAAGAGAUGUAACUUUUAAGUUGGCAUUGUUACAAAAUGAUUCUUACAAGUUUUGAAAAUAUCCUUGAGAAGAAAUAACUUUUAGAUGGUGAUAGCAGUAUCUUUAUUACACAUAUUAUAUAAUAAAUUUAAGAAUAUUUAUUAUUUAAAAAGAAAAAAUAAUAUAAUAGGUAUAUACAUAAAUUUCAAGCUUUAGCAUUGUCAUAUUUUAAUUAUUUAUAGUACGUAAAAAUUAACUAAAAUAUAUAAUAUAUUUAUAAAUAUUGAUGUGUACUAAAGUUUUAAGUAGAUUAAUUUAUAAAAAAUUGAUAUAAAAAAAUUAUUUUGAAUCUUAUCUAUUUUAAUUAUAGUAUUUAAAUUAUAUAGAAUUCAAAUAUUUAGUAUAAAAUUUAAAGAAAAGAUUUGAGCUCAAAGAUGAAGAUCCAAAUCUCUAAGAAACUUAUCUGUAGAGAUGAAAGAAAGAUAUAGAUGGAUGAAGGUAAGGAAUGAAGUUCUUCACACCUAUUGAUCAAAAGCCAUAUCUAAUAGAUUCUCAAGAGGCUAUCCGCGACCAUAACAAGGAUUUUGGCAACUUCAAAAGAGAUAUUUUGAGAAUUGAAACUAAAGACUGUAAGAUUUAAGAUUUGGACUGCAAUUUGUAUGCAAAUUUUAGCAGAUUUGGAGUCUAGAUGAUGAAAUUAUAACCAUUUGAAGUUAAAAUAUCUUUUGAAGAUAUAUUAUUGUUCUUUUGAACAUACAAGGAAUUAUACAAUAGUUUUUGAAGAUUAGGAGGUACAAUUGUAAAAAUGAUUUUAAGACUUAUAUCUUUUCUAAAAGAAUUUUUAUAUUUAGAAUUUAUAUAAAGGAGUUAUAGAGUAUUGAAGAUAGCAUAUAUAAUUCAAAGAUAGUAAGUGAGUUGUUUUGGUGAUAGUAAUGGUUGGAGCCAUAGUUUAAGUUUUUAGGCGAAUUUUUGGCUCAAAAUUUCUAAAGAUUUGUAUUAAUAGGUUAAAAAGAUAUAUAUCAAAAUUUUAUAGUAUUUGAGUACUUAGUUUAUAAGAUAUGAAGAAAAUUACACAUAAAUAUAAGUAAGUAAGGAUUUGAAGCUAUUGUUUGGAUUUUGACAAUAUCUCAAGAUUUGUAAUGACUUUAUAUAUGAAAUUUUUUGUGGUAGUUGUUAAAAAUACAUCAAUACUUUAUAUAAAAUUUUAGUUUGUUUGGACAGUUCCAUCGAGAAAUAUGAACUUUUGAAGUUCAAGAAAAUUUUACCUUAAGGAUAUAUAAAGUUUUAGAAUAUUUUUAUCAUAUUUUCGAUGAUCUUUGAUACUCAAGGCUUAUGUAUUAAUGUAAUUGCCUUUGAAAGGAUAUUUUUAUAUACAAACUUGGUAUUUUUUUUAUUUUAAGACUUGAUUAAGCAAUUAGUGACAACUAAAAGUACAAUUCUUUUUUAAGGCAAAUUCUUUCUAUUCUAAUUGUAAUAGGAUAUAGAUAAGAUAAUUAUAUAAAUAAUUAGAACCAUGGAAGUUUUUAGAAUUAGAAUUAAAUUAGUAGAUCAAAUAGGAUCCACCAUAGAACGUUCUAGAAAGGAUUUAGGGCGAUUAUUUAUGUAGAUUCUAUAGUAGGAUCUAAAAUCUUCUAAAAGAAAGCUUAAGGUAGUUAUUUAAGUAGAUCCUAUCAUAGAAUCUUCUGAAGAAGAAAUUUAAGGUGGUUAUUUAGGUGAAAUCCAUCACUUAAGAAAAUUCUAGAAAGUCUAAAGUGAUAGGAUAAGAUAUAAAUAGGACUAGCUACGGCCUUUUGGAGGUAUCUGGUCAGAUAUAGCUUCAGACCCUUUCUCUUAAUAAAGUUUGAUUCAACAUCUUUUUGUUCAAAUCUAUUCUAUUUUAUUUUUGUUUGUUCAAUUUUAUCUUUCAUUUCUUAUUUUAUUUAGUUUCAUUCAAUUUUAUUAUCGUUUGUUUUGUCUUAUUUUAUGAAGAAGCCUUAUGUUAUUCUAAAUUAAAAAGAUUUUAGAUUUUUGAAUUAAUCUAGUCUUGUUUCAUUAGUAUUAGAGUGAGUAUUAGACUAUUACUUUUGUCAGCAUGUCAAUAGUCAUCAUUUAGUCCAAGGUCAUUUAUUGUGGUUACAUUAGAUAUUAUGUUUAGGCUAUCAAAAGAUAUUCUUAAAAAGUCAAUUGAGAGGUGAGAAGGUAUUACAAUAUUAGAAUCCAAAAGAGAAAUUAUAAUGUAGAAGAUAUGGCAGAGCAAUCCCAAGUACAAGCUCAAAUACAACACCUCUUAAGCUAGAUAGCUACUUUGCAAAGGCAAAUAAAAGCCUCAAGGAUAAGAAUUGAUAUCUGCUAGGUUGAAAUUGAAUAAGCCUAGUACAUACUCUGUAACUUUAAGACAAGAAGAUGAAUGUCAAUGUCUCUUUAAUAUGUGACAAUACGUCCAAUUGUUUGGAACAAAUACCAUUGAAAGAAUUAUGUAUACAGCCAACUAUUUGAGAGGUGUAGCAAUUAUUUGGUGGUAACAUCAAGUUCAAAGUUAUGGAUCUUAAGGUAGAUUUUGUGACCAAGAAGAAUUUGAGAUCGAUUUUAGGAAUCAAUUUUAGCCCAUCAAUAUAAAAAAGAUAGCAUGCAAUGACUUGGCAAAUUGUACAUAAGCUAGGUUGGUAUAAAUUUAUGUCUCCUAAUUCAAGUCCUUAUGUCUCUAAAUUAGCAAUGUUUAGAGGCAAAGAUGAUGGAUCAAUUUCUAUGAGGAUUGAAACCUAGAGCCUAACAAGAGGUGGAGCUACAAGAUCUACAAACAUUCAAAGAGGCACUUCAAAUUGCAGAGAAGGUUGAUGCUAUAGAUUUCAGAAAUUAUAGAAGAUGAUUUAUAUUAUAAAGUCUUAAGUUGCUAUCUAAUAUUAAGAUACAACAACCAAUACCAAUGGAGAUUGAUGCCUUAUAAGGAUCAUUAACACCACAAAGAUGACAAAUAUUGGUGUAAAAAAGAUUGUAUUUUUAUUGUCGAAAGUCAAGCCAUCAAAUUGUAGAUUGUCCAAAACAUCAAAGUGUAAGUACUAAGAAGAUAAGGCUAGUUCACAAUCUCAAUAUUCAUGAAGUUAAUAAUAAAUCAAAGUAAGAAAAUAAGACUCCCUAAUAAAGGCAUUGGGGGCUAGUACUGGGAGUAGCUAUUAUCUCUUAGAGACAAAUGGCAUAGCCUUAGACAACUAUAAAAAGAGUCAACUAGUCUUUUUAAUGGGACAACUAAGAAGACAACUAUGUUGAGUGCUUAUAGAUUGUGGUUCUACAAAAAAAUGCAUCUCAAGUGAAAUUAUUGAUUGACUUCAAAUUAAAAUCAAGGAAAUGAAAGAAGGAAGUAUAUACCUUAUAAAUGAUCCAGAGAAUAUAUUGAGUGAGACAUGUGAAGAAGAAACCUUGUGAUUAAUAGACAUCUACAUCUUAGGAGAGAGAUUCAAGGUAAUAAAGCUAAGGUAUGAUAUUAUCCUUGGUAUGCCAUGACUAGAGAUGGAAAAUAUGCAAGUUAAUUAAGUAGCAUGAAAAAUCUCUUUUAAAGAUGGAAGAUGUAAUAUGACUCUUUGCACCUGUAUAUCAAGUGAAGAAAAAAGACAAUGUAUAAUCAAAGACUUAAUUAUAGAGACAACCUUUAUGAAAAAGCAACUACAGUAUACAUGGUGGUUUGAAAUUAUACAUCAAUGGUGGGAAAGACAACCAAAAGAGUAGAACGCACAAAGCAAUUCAUAAAAAAAUAUAAGGAUGUCUUUUCAAUCAAUCUAUCUAGUGGCAUACCUCCUGAUCAAGGUUCCUCCUUUUAAAUAGAACUAUUGCCUAGAACCAAACUAGUAAGUCGACUAAUUUAUUGCAUAGUACUAAAAGAACUUAAAGAGCUACAAAAGAUAUUCGAUGAACUCUUAGAAAAAGGCCUCAUUUGAGAAAGCACAUCACCAUAGAAAGCACACGUACUCUUUUCACCAAAAAAGAUGGUAGAAUUCAUCUUUGUAUUAACCAUCAAGGUCUUAAUAAGAAGAUUGUUAAAAUUGCAUAUCUACCUCCAUGUAUUGUUGUAUCACGUGAUUUGCUAUCUGAAAAUAUAUUAGGUAUCUAAUUGUAGAGAGUUGAGCUUAAACUUUUAUAUGUAUCUUAUCUUAGCUUCCAAAACUCCUUUAUUUUGCAUAAAAUUCAGAAAUAGUAAAAUCCCUUUAAAACAUAUUUUUUCUCACCAAAGAUUUUUUCUUUCUAAAAUUUAAAAAUUCAUAACUCUUGAUGUAACUAAUCAAUUUGUUUCAAAUUUAUAAGGUUGGUAGAAUUCACCUUUAAUUUUUAUCAAAAAAAAUCUAAUUAAAAAUUCACUCCCAAUCUUUUGGCAUCUAAAAAACCCAAGCAGAUGCUCUAAACCCUAAUUUACAAGCAUCCGAGCACUAUUUUCUUAAUAUCUCAAGAAUCUAAUACUUAAAUGCCAUAAAACUUAUUUAAAAAGUUUAUUAACAUAAAUAUACACAUUUUCUAAAAUUUUGAGCCAAAACCUUAUCAAAUUGCUCAAGACAUAGCUCAAGACACAACCACUAGUAAAUCGGGUCACUUACUACCCUUAGAUUGCAUGCACGGACUUCAUAAUCCAAUAUCUCCUUUACUUUAAUUUAGAAUCCAACAAGUAGUAAACAAAAAGAGUAGCCGCAAAAGUACUCUCUCCAAUAGCAAUCGCCGAUCUUCAAUUGUCCUUUGUAUGCAUGUCUUAUGAUAAAAAGAGUGACAGCAGCUUCCAAAUUAAUACCUUAACUUUGAGCGCCUAUAUCUCCUUCAUAUAAACUCCAAAUCAUACAAGAUUUGUACCAAAACCAUAGCCAAAAACUUAAGCUCUCUAACCCUAGUCUUCAAAAUUUGAAUGGCUCCGAAAAUCUAAUCCUAAUCUCUAAUAUGGCCUCGGGCAGUCUCCUUGAAGCCUAUUGGUCAUGAUUUUUGACCAAUAGGAAUGGAGAUUUUCAUCAUCCAUUUCCAUUCAUCUAUAUGGAUGCCUUAAAUUUUCUUUUUAUUACCAAAUUCCUUCUCCAACUCUUUUCUUUACAAGAUUUAUUCAAUAUAUGUCCUAAACACCAAAUUAAAGAACCAAAAUAAGACUUCAAAGGUCACCAAUGUCUAAUAAAGGUGAUUCUAAAUAUUUAAAGUUACUACCAAAAAAAUCAAUCUCAAAAGCCACUAUCAAAAGAAAAUAUAGUUAUACAAAUUUUAAUAAUAAUCCUUUUAAACAACCUCCUUUUAAAGUAGUAAUUUAGCCACACUCUACAACCAACUAUAAUCUAACAACAUGGAUCUCACCAUGUUAUUAAGUAAAUUAUACAUUAAAUACAUAAUCACAUUAUUUUCACAUGGUAGCCAAACCACAAUAUGAUAGCGUGGAUGAUCUUCUUGAUCAACUUUGAGGUAUGACUAUCUUUAGUAAAUUAGAUCUUUAGAGCGAAUAUUAGUAAAUACUUAUUACAAAAGAAGAUGUGAAAAAGAUGGCAUUUUGUACGUGGUAUGGACAUUUCAAAUAGCUAGUUUUAUCCUUUGGCUUCAUUGAUACUCUAGUUUCUUUUAUGAGUCACAUGAAUAGAUUAUUUUGAGACCUUUUGGAGAAGUAUGUAGUCGUCUUCAUUCAUGAUAUCUUGGUAUAUAGUAAAAUCCUUGAAGAGCAUGAGCAACAAAUAUAAGAGGUGCUGUGUCGACUGCAAGAUAGUCAGUUUUAUUACAAGCAAUUAAAAUGUGAACUUUGGAAGUCAAAAGAUACAUUUUUGGAGCAUGUGGUAUCCUCUCAAGGCAUGUGUAUGGAACAAGAUGAGAUAAAAGUAGUAGAAGAUUGGCCAACCUUCAAGGAUGGUUCUAAAGUUUGUUCAUUUUUAGGCCAUACUAGUUACUAUUUCCAUUUUGAUUGAUGAUUUGUUUACAUUCCUGCUUCAUUGACAAACUUAUUGAAGAAGGAUGCCUCAUUUGAAUGGAAAAUGGAGCAACAAAAUGCCUUUGAUUAGUUGAAGGAGGUAUUCAUUACUACUCCAAUAUUGUAACGAUAUGAUCUUAAUCUUCUUUGCACACUUGACAUUGAUAUUUUCAACUUUGCUAUUAGAGUGCUCCUUCAAUAAAACUUUAGUAGGAACCUUCAAUAUAUAGCAUAUGAAUCACAAAAGUUUAAAAGGGUAGAGCACAAUUAGUCUGCAUAUGAUUGAGAGAAAUUACCAAAUUUACAUGCCACAAAGGUGUGGCAAUAUUAUCUAUUUGAGAAGCUAGUGGUUGUUCAAACUAACCAUCAAUCCUUGCUAUAUGAUUUACAUCUAGAAAAUAUAAAAUUGCGACAUCAUUGUUAGGGAGAACAGUUGUAACUUUUUGAUAUUCAGCUUGAGUACAAGCAAGGGCAACAAUAUACUAUGCCAAAUAAUUUAUCAUGGAGACUAGACUUAAAGGAUGAAUUGAAAGAUAAGGUAGAAAUUGCUACCAUUGAUAGUAUUAUUUCAGAUAUAACCAAAGAGGUAGAAUAGAAAGAAACUAUAGAUUGGGAUACUUAUUUCAAAAAGAUUAGCAAUUGAAUAAAGGUAGGCAAUAUAAAAUAUCAAGAUUACACUCUUAGCGAUGGCUUGCUAUAUUUCAAGAAGUAAAUUAAUGUAUCCGAUAAUAUUUAAUUCCAGACAUACAUAUUUUAAGUGAGACAUGACAUCUCAAUAUCUAGACAUAUGUGACGAAAGAAGAACCUAGAACGAAUCUCAAGAACAUGAUUUUGGACAGAUUUCUAUCAUGAUGUUUAAGCCUUUGUACACUUCUACAAAUCAUGUUAAUAUAAUAAAGCAUCUAAUGUAGUAUCUUUUAGAUUAUUGCAACCAAUUUUGUUAUCUACGGCACGUUGGGAGCAGGUGAUUUUAGAUCUUAUUACAUGUUUGCUAUAGAUGCUUCAUAAUCAUACCGCAAUUGUCGUCUUUGUGAAUCGAUUCUCAAAAUAACUUCACUUGGUUAUAAUGCGCUUGGAUAUUGAUGCCGUAAUGCUUGCAUGAGUCUUCUUUAAUAUUAUCUUUUUUCACCAUAGAUUACCGUGUGUCAUUAUUUGAGACUGGGAUCCAUGCUUAACAUGAAGUUUUUUGCAAGCCUUGUUCAAGCUACUAGGCAGACCACUUGCCAUGUCUACCAUUUAUUAUCCUCAAACAGAUGGAAAAUAGAGCGUCCAAAUCGAACCUUAUUCCACGACCUAAGAAUAUUCUAGAAAGUCUAAGAUGGUAGGACAAGGUAUAUAUAGGAUUGGCCAAGGCCUUUUGGAAGCAUUUAGUCAAGUAUGGCUUUGAACCCUUUCUCUGAAUGAAGUUUGGUUCUACAUCUUUCUGUUUAGAUCUAUUCUAUUUUGUUUUUGUUUGCUCAAUUUUGUCUUUCAUGUCAUAUUUUAUUUAAUUCCAUUCAAUUUUAUUGUAGUCUAUUUUGUCUUAUUUUGUGAGAAGGCCUAUUCUUGUCUUGAAUUGAAAGGAUCUUGGAUUUUUGAAUUAGUCUAGUCUUAUUUCACUGAUAACGUCUCAAUCAAAGUUUUUUUUUUUUUUUUUUUUUUUUUUUUUUUUUUAAUUAAAAUUUUGUUAUAUAGGACCUUUGAAUGUUAUGAUAUGCCAUUUCUUUCAAAAUCUUUAUAUAAUGACUUCUUAUUAUUGAUUGAAGUUUAACAAGUUAUAAAUCUAUUUAUAAGGUGAAAUAAUAUGCAAGUUUAUUAGUUGUAGAUUCUUACUUAGUUCACCUACUCUCUAUGAUAUGAUCUAUAGGAAUUAUUCAAGGUCCAAGAUAAUAGAAUCUAUACUCAUCUAUCCAUACACUCAGAAAUGAUUUGUUUACUAAUACUUGAAUACCUUCCAAUGUACAUUAUUGGAUAUCAAAAGGACCAAAGAUAAUUGAAGAAUAAAAAGAAAGAAAAAGUCAAUAAUAUAUUACAAUGUGCCACUAUUAUCAAAAUAAUAAUGAAUAAGAGAAUAAAUAUCUAUAUAACCAUAAAGCUUAGCAAUUGGUAUAUAUAAAUAGAUCUCAUAAAGAACUUGAACAACUAAAUGACUGAAGAUCACCAAAGACUUUAGCAAAUGCUUGUUUCUUUGAAAAAUAAAAGAGUUCAACAAUAUUUCAUACUUAGCAAGACAUGUAAAAUUAUUUUUAAUAAUUUUUUUAUAUAAAUUAUCAAAAAAUAUAAUUAUAGUAAAAAAUAAUAUUCUUUUUUAAAAUAGAUUAAUUAUGCUUAAAAUAUAAAGUCAAGAAAUGGCCUUAUGAAAAGUCUAAUCUAUAUUAUUAAUAAGAAAAAUUAAAAUUGACUCUAUUAUCACCUCUGAUAAUGUAUUUUUAAAGAUUACUUAAUAGUAUUGAAUUAUAUAUUAAUAAUAUGUGCUUUUACAAUAGCAAUUUAUAUUUACAUUGUUAAAAGCAAAAUGGAUCAAAUUUUGGCUAAUAUAAACAAAGGUGUUUAUAUAUUUUAUAUUAAAGGGUAAUUUACCAUUGCAUAAGAAGUUUAUUGCCUAUUGGAAGUAAAAUUCUUUAAUUUAGUCAAAUGUCAUGAAAAUACAGUUGACUUUUGAAGCUCAAUUCAAUUGUUGCUAAAAAAUAGUUUUUCAUUUAAAUUAGAUUCUUGUACGUAACAUUUAAGAAUAAUUUUUUUGCAUAAUUUUUUUAUACAAAUGGCUCAUGCAUGCAUGCCUUAGAUUCUUAGUGACAAUUCUUAAGCUAUUUGGAUUUAAAAAAAACACAAAAAAAACACUCACCAUUGCCUUUAGUACUAAUAAAGUUGUUGCAAUAAUUUUUGAUGGAGAUGUUACUUCUAAUGGAAGUAAUAUCAUUCUUCAUAUUAUUAAAGGCCCUCUAAUGAAGAUUAAUAAAAUACAUGGUACAUAUGAUCUUCUUAUUCUUUUUAUUAUAUUUUUUAUAUAGAAUAUAGUUGGAAUUUAAAUAUAUCUUAAGAAAGAAUAGAAAUAAUAGAGUUCAACAACAAUAAUCAUGGAAGAAGAACUUAAGCACAAUAGAUCCAAAAAAAGGACUUGGGUGUAUAAAAUGGAUUAUGCUUUGUUUAGCUUAUACUUCUAUGAACCUAAUAAUGGCUUUGUUUAUUAUUGUGGAAGACUUUUCUAACAAUAUGCUAUUGAUCAAAUGUGUCUUUUUUGGUUCCAAUUUAACCAAUGUAUAAUUUGUAUUGAUUUGUUUAAAAAUUUAAUUAAUCACCUAUAAAUUGAUAGUAAUUUGGUAAAUUUAGAUAAGUAUAUUCUUUGAUUUUUUUUAAUAAAAAGUGAUAGAUAUAUACACUAAUGCUAUCAAGAUGCAAUGAAUAUAAUUAAUUUUAUAGAAAGCUAAAUCUUUUUAUUACCUUUAUCUCUAACCUAAAUUGAACAAAACUUAUAGAAAAAUUAUUGGAAGGAUAAACAACAAAAGAUAGUUUCAAUUUGAUCACAAAGGCAUUCAAACAAUUAUUAAAAUUAUUGUUAUAUUAUGUGAAAACUAACCUAAAAAUAUAUUAAGUAUCUAGUUAUAGAAGGAUUUGAAUUUAUCUUAUAAUUUGAAUUAUAAUCCAAAGUAAUACACUAGGUAUUUAGAAAUUUUCUUUGGAAUUGUUGAACAAUCUAAAUAAGCUUAUAAUUAUCUUAAAUGCAUCUUAUCAAAUUUUAAAAAAUCUUAUAUAAAUCUGAUUGUAUUUUAAUUAAUUUUAAAAUAAUCUUUAAAUAAUCUUUGACACAUUUCAAAUAAAUUCAAAUAAAUUCCUAAUAAAAUCCUCAUUAUAUUUUAAAACCUAAAUUCUACUCAAAUCAUAAAUUCUAAAUCCUAAUCUUAAUUCAAUUCAAAUUAAAUCCUAAUCAAAUUCUAAAUCAUAAAUCCUAGUUAAAUCUUAAGCAAAUUAAAAUCUCAAUAAUUAAAAAUUUAAUUAUUGAUUUAGAUUCAAAAUUUUCAAAUCUUUAAAUUAUAUAAUUAAAAAUAAGUAUAAUUUUUUUUAAAGAUCAAACUUACUAAACAAAAGAUAAACCUCAUAAUCUGCUUAGAUAUUAGCUUGCCACCUUUUCUAAACUUAAUAUCAAUCUCUUAGUAAUAAUAUUUCUUAUAUUUAUCAACUAAUUUCUUUUAAAUUUUAUAAAAUUAUUGGAGAUUAAGUUUCUUAUAAAUAUAAAAAUUUAUAUUUCUAUUUAAUUGGAAAAUUACCGCAAUUCUUAGAAAUCUUCAUUGAUCUUCUAAACUCCAAUUUUUAAAGACUUUAAUAUACUUAAAUUUUUAUAACCUUCAAAUAAUUUUUUUGAUCAAGCUCAGACUUGUGAUACACAUCAAGAACAACUAUAAUCACAUACCUACAAAAUAUCAUCUAUAGAUCAACUACCAAUCUCACAAAAUUUUCCAAAGUAUAAAUCUUUUAUAUUUUCAAAAAGUCCAAUGCCACCUUAAGAUAAUUUUAACUUUACAAAGCCUCUACAAAGUUAUUACAUACUCAAAUCAUUCAAAAUUACUGCUCAAAAUUUUUUUUCUAGUUUUCUUUUUAAAUUUUAAUCUUCAAUCAAUAGAAAAAAACACUUGAAUUACUGUGAAUGUGUGAUUUUGUACCUUAGAGUCUAAAUUUGAUCUUGAUUUAUAAUUAAUCCCCUUUGGAUAUCAAUUCUUGUUUUUUUUUAAAUAAUUUUGUUGUAAAUUAUUCUUAACUUAUUUUUAAAGAUGCCAAUACUAGUUAUUUUUCUUAUCUAAUUUAUUUUUUCUUAUUUAUGGCUGUACAAAAUAAGUAGAAGUUUAUUUUGUAAAGAGGCAGCAUUAGAACUUAUUAAUUUUAUUAUUUCUUUGACUAUUAUGUAUAAUUUUAGAUUAAUUUAUUAUAUUAUUUUUAAAUAAGCUCUUUUAUAAAAUAAUCUUUUUUUUAUUUCUUUUAUCUAAUAGUUGUAUUAUUACAUGAAAAUAUUAGAUAUCUUUUUAACAAAAGAUAGAAUUCUUAGAAAAAUAUCUAUAUUAUUGAAUUCCUGAAACAUAGUCUAUUACAUAUUCAUCUCUUUAUUAUCUUUCAUCAUAAAAUAAAAAAUUCAAAUCCAUUUGACUAAAGUUUUGUUAUUUUGGAUGAAAUUUCAAAUAUUGAGGCUCAAUUCUAACUUUAUGCUAUUAUCACAAUUGUAUGGUUUACUAAUCCUAUGAACAUGUCAACUAGAUGUUCUAUGCAUGAUAGAUGGUGUUUGUCAAAAAAAAUAUUUAAAUAAAAUUUAAAAUAAGAUUUUAAAAUAAUAAUGGAUGUCCUAUUAAUUAUAAGAAAAAAAUUACAAAAUUAUAUUUGUAGGAAUCAAAGUUCUAGACAACUAAUAGCUAAUUCCUCACAAUCUAUUUCAUUGGCAUAUUUUUUAUUGCUACAUUAAUGUUGAAAUGUAUUUUACAAUAAAUAUUAUAAAAUAAGUUUAUAGAUAUGUUUAUGAAGAACAUAACCAUAUAAUUUUUUCAUUGCUAAUUCCUUUGUAGUAAGAAGAUAAUGUAGAAGUCUUGAACAAGAUUAAAUAAUAUAUGAUGUUACCAAAAGAACAUUGGAGAAUAUUUAAUUUUAAGCUUUAAUGUAAAAGCCACAAUGUUUAAUGGUUGCAAGUCUAUCUUCUAAAUCUAUACACUAUAUACUAUGAACCUAAUGGAAAUCUAAAUAAUGUAUUGGUUGGAAAAAUACAAAUAAUAUUAAUAGAAUUAUUUAAAAUAUGUGAAAACAAUGAUGCAACCAAAAUCGUUUUUUAUAUCAAAUUUUUAAAGCACCACAUAUAAAAGAAAAAACAUUGGCUUAAAAGAAUCCAUGAUGGAGACGAAAUUGUUAAACAAAUGUAUAGUUGCAAGUUAUUUCAAAGAAAAUAAUAUUAUUUGUACUUAUUCUUGCUCUACAUUCAUUAUUUUCAUUCUUUUGAACAUCUCCAAAUAUUUGAUUAUAUGCUCUAUCUUUAAUUUUAAGAUGCAACCAAUGCCCAUUAUUAAUUUGGAAGAUAACACAAAAUCACUUUGUAUAAUAAAUAACAUUAUUAACAAAAAAAUACUAAUUAUAAUAUAAUUAUUUUUUAUCCAAGUUUUUUAUUUUUAGAAAUCCUUCAAAUAUUAAAAAUUUGUGAAAUACAAAUAUUGUAUCUAUGAUUAAAGAUUUUAUUUUUUAUUUAUAUUUGCAACAAAAUCUUAUUGCUCUAAAUCAUCUUGUUGCCAUUGUUAAAGCUUUAUUAGGCAUUUAAUCACAUCUUUUAUAAAUAAAAAAUAUUUUAUUGAGUUUUUGGAUCUACUUCAUUUAAAUAAAUGGAUUGUCAAUCAAUCAAUACUUAUUUAAGGUGACAAAUUCUUUAUAAGCUAUAUGUCAUAUGAUUUGUUGAAAUAAAUAUAGUUUUAAAUAUAAUUCUAUUAUUAUAUAAUAAGAAAUAAGUUAUAUACAAUAUAAUUAUUAUUAUUAGAAAAAUAUCAAUUAUAAUAUAUUUUUUUUUUUAUUGAUGGUCUUAAUGAUAUAUGAAAUACAUUUAUUUACAAAAUAUUUUUAGCCUAUUAUAUGAAAAAUGAUUAAAUUUCUAUAGCUAUUAUUUCUUUUGGCAUUCUAGCAUUACUAUUUCUAAGUAGAAAAAUAAAUGAUUCCACUUUUAAGAUCUUCUUUAAUCUUAAUGACCACAUAAAUUGUAGCAUUACAAAAGAAUUAAAACUAGAAAGAUUGUUUAAUCUUGCUAAGAUAUUUAUAUGGCAUAAAGCUUCAAUAAUCAAGAAGCCAACCUUUAAAGUUGUAGAUAGGUUGCUUUGUAAUAUAACCAAUAUUGAUUAGUUAUUUGGUGAAAAACAUUCUAUGUUAAAUAAGAAUAUUUUGACAAAUUUUGUUGAUUCUCCUUCAUUGUAUAAGAGUACAAAUUAUUAAUAAGCUUGAAUUUUUCUUAUUUAUGGCUAUUUUUAUAAAAAAUAUAACUUGUAACUAAUAUAAAAUUAUAUCAAGUUAAUAGAUAAAAAAAAUAGAUCCUUUGCAAAAUAUUUACUUUGUAUUGGCAAAAAAUAAAAAAAAUUUUAUUAUAAUAUAAUAAAAAAUAUAAUUUAUAUGCUUGAAGAAAUUUCUAUUUUUAAAACCAUUGGUUUAUUAAUUUAAAAAAUCUAUAGUAAUCUUACUAACAAUGCCAAUAAUCACAUAAACAUUAUAAAUUGCACAAUAUUAUCUACCAUGAAUUUAUUUUUUGAUACAUUCAAUCUCUAAAGCUUACAAAACAUUCUUGGUGAAAAGAUAGAUUUUUUUUUAUAUAUAUUCAAUUUUCUACGAUAAAAAUGGUAAUCAUAUAAUCUACUUAGUUGAUUUUUUUUUAAUUUUUUUUUAUAAAUGGAUUGCCAUGUCAUUUAUUAAAAUUGAAGGUAUGGAGUUCUAUAAUCAUAUAUUUUAUUUAGCUAUCUCUAUAUUGGUACUAUAUAUAUAUAUAUAUAUAUAUAUAUAUAUAUAUAUAUAUUUUGUAUCAUGGAUAUAUACAUGUAAACUAAUAAUUACCUACAUGAUUAGAUAAAAGUAGAUAAAAAUAGGUUAAUUCCAUUAUAUCUUCUAUAAAAGCUUCGUAGAAGCUUUAUAGAUGCUAUUUUGACUUUGUAGAUGUCUAUAAUUGACUUUAUAGAUGUCUAUAAUUGACUUUGUAGAUGUCUAUAAUUAACUUUUUAGGUUAGAAAUGUAGUCAAUAAGUUGACCAUGUGUCAUACAUGUUGGUAGCUUGAAGAACAAACUAACUAUGUGGCCCACACAUAAAAAACUUGCCUUCUAGGCUAAGACAUGUAUCUUGCAAAGUUAACAUAUAUUAGAGAUCCUAUAGAAUAUUGCCACUUAGCUUCUAAUUAGAUAGUAUAUAUAGAAGCAAGAAUGAAGCCCUCUUCACUCUUCUCAAUUCUUUUCUUCCUUCUAGUCUAGAUUCAAGAGUCUCUAGUUUCUUUAUCUUUUAGCAAUAUCCAUUCCAAUUUUUUUUAAUAUAUAUAUUAUUUUAUUUCUAUUUUUUUACUUUUUUUUUAUAUAGAUUUGUCAAGCUUAUAUAUCUUUUCCAGUUCAUAUCUUUGACAAAUUGAUAAGAGUAUACUUAUAAUAUUAGAGCUUUGUGUUCUCUUGAUUAAAAGUGAAUUAUUUUUUUUUCUUGAUAAGACAUAAGUGUAUUAGAAAUUAUAGAUUAUCCUCUUUUAAACUAAUAUUGUUCUUGAUUUUUUUUUCUCAAGUCCUUUCUUUUAUUUAUCUUUAACAAUAUUAGUAAUUUUUUUUUCAAGUAUUAUCAUAGCAGAGCUUGUUGAAAUAAAGAAUAUAAUGGCACAAAUGUAAGAGCAAUUGAGGGAGUUGAUGCUUGUAAUGCAUUAACUUAAUUUUUUAUCUUAAAGAUCAACAAGAAUAGCAGGAAGUGAAGAUAUAGAUAUGAUUGGAGAUGCUUCAACAUUUGUAUCAAAUCAUAUUCCUUUUUCUAUAAUAAAACAUCCUUUCAAUACCAAACAACCAAGAGUUGCUCUGUUUGAGAAGUUUGAUGGCAUAAGAUCUAAGUUUUGAGGAUUUAUCAAUCAAGUACAACUUGUGGUUGAACUUCAAACCCAAAGAUAUCCAACUUCAGGAUCAUAAGUUAGAUUUAUUGAUAUACUUCUUUUAGAUUUAGUAUUAUUAUGAUUUUUUUAUCUUUUUUUGAAUGAAAAGAUGCAAUAUUGGAUAAUUUUGAGGCUUUUUUGGCAAAGUUUUGAUCCAUGUAUAGAGAACAUAAUACAACUUGUGUUGCAACCAACAAGAUCCAUAUUUUGUGACAAAGCAAUUAAUUCGUAAUAUUAUAUGUUUUAUAAUUUUGACAACUUGUAACUAAUAUUAAGUGGGAUGAUGUUGUACUUAUUAGCCAAUUUUUCUAUAAAUUAUAAUAUGAAGUAAAGAAAUUGAUGCUCAACUUACUUGAUCUUCAAACAUUGAAUUAAACAAUUGACUUUGCUAUGAAGUGUAAUAAUUGACUUUUUGAAUUUUGAUUUGACAGUCAGAUAAGUGAAUUUCAACAUUACUAUAAUUGAAUGGCAAUACCAACACCUCUUCAAUACAUACAUUUGGAAGUAGAGGAUAUGUAAAUUAAUGUAGUAUGUUUUAAACUUCUUAAUGAAUAAAAAAAGACUUAUCAUUGUCAUGAAGGAUUGUGCUUAUAUUAUAGAGAACAUAAGCCUACUACUCAAUAUUAUCUAAAGAAGUGAUAAAAUUAUAAAAUCAAGAGUACAAAUGUCAGAAAAGAUAAUAUAUUAAAAAAUAAAUUUAUCUAGUUAUAAUAGGAAUCAUGUGGCUAGAAUCUUAUAAAAUACCUAAUAAAGGUCCUAUUCUCUCCUUAGAACCAUCUCUUUCUUUUAUACUAAAUAUUAUUUUAGGAUCUAAACGUUACAAAGCCUUUGUCUUAUUAGAUUUAAGAGCUUUAGCAUUUUUCUUAGAUGAAGAAUUUGCUAAAAGACUUAACAAAACUUUAUUGGAGAAAACUAAAUAUAUUCAUGUAGAAGUCAUAGAUGAUUGUCCAUUAUCUUUUAGAGAUGUUACUUAUGAAAUCCUUUCUGUAGAAGUAAUAACCAAUAGUCAUAAUAGCUAUGUGAUGUAUAGUAUCAUUAGAUCUCUCUUUAAUCCAAUUAUUUUAGGCUUAUUGUAGUUAAAAAAAUAUAAUCCUUGAGUGGAUUGGAUUUCUUGUAUUUUCAACUUUUCUAAAAAUAUUAAAAAGCGUAUAAUUAAUCAAGUAAAAAAUCACAAAUCUAGAUAAUUAAACAUGUAUUUGUAGGUACAAGAGCUUUCUUGCAUAUUGCAAAAGAAGUAUCACCUUGUAUCAUUUAUGCCACACUCAUUUCUAAUGGUACAAAGCCUUCAAGUGGCAUUCCAAGCCAAUAUCAAGAAUUUAAAGAUGUAUUUGAAAAAAAGAAUGUAGAUACUCUUCCAAAAUAUCAUUCCUAUAACUGCUCAAUUGACUUUCAAGAAAGAGCACAACUAGUAUUUGGACCAAUGUAUAAUUUAUCACAAAAUAAGUUGGCUAAAUUCAAAGAGUAUAUUAAAGAAAAUCUAGCCAAGAACUUCAUAUAUCAUUCUAAAUCUCUAGCAAAAAUCUCAAUUCCAUUUGUAAAGAAAAAAAAAAAAAAAAAAAAAAAAAAAAAAAACAUUGUAGAUGUUUGUUGAUUAUCGAAGAUUCAACAAGAUCACUAUCAAGAAUAAGUACCUACUACCUUUAAUAUCUGGACUUCUUAAUGAGUUGAAUCAUGCUAAGAUCUAUACAAAAAUAGAUCUAUAAAGAACAUACAAUCUGGUAUUAAAAAUAAAAUAAAAUAAAAUAAAAUAAAUAAAAUGAAUGGAAGAUUGCAUUUUGAACUAGAUAUGAACAUUUUAAAUAUAAUGUCAUGCCCUUUGGACUUACAAAUGUAUCAACAACUUUUCAAUAUCUUAUGAAUGAUAUUUUUUGAGAGUUUUAGGAUGAUUUUGUUAUUUGUUAUCUAGACAACAUCUUGAUCUAUUUUAAGAAUAGAGAAGAACAUAAACUUUAUGUUUAUCAUGUGUUAUAAAUUUUAAGAAAUUGGGGAUUCAAUGUGAAGAUAGAAAAGUGUAUAUUCUUCACUACUCAAAUUGACUUCUUAGGUUACAUCAUUUCAAAUAAUAGACUUAUGAUGGAUCUUAAGAAAGUUUAAACUAUUACAGAUGAGAAGAUCUCAAAAGUAGUAUGAGAUAUCUAAUGUUUUUUGGAAUUUGUUAAUUACUAUCAGAUCUUUAUCAAAGAAUUUUCUUGAGUUGCACAUCUACUUAAAUGUUUGACUUGUAAAGACAAACUUCAGUGGAAUCAAGGAGUGGAAGUAACAUUUGAAGCUUUAAAGAUAGCCUUUGUUUCUGCACCAAUCUUGUAUUAUGUUGACUUUUUCAAGUUAUUUUUUAUGGAAACAAAUGAUAAACUUCACCUAGUAGCUUUUUAUUCCAAAAAAUUUUCAAUAGCUGAGAUUAACUAUGAGAUCCAUGAUAAAAAGCUUUUUCCAAUCAGGGAUUUUUUUUAAGAUGAUAUAUCGACUUUAAAAAUAACAAGAUUUGUUAGAAGUCUUUUUUAGACAUUCUAAUUUUAUAUCAAAAAAAAAAUACAUCUUUUGAUCAACAAAGAAUGAUUUUUUUAAAGUUGGAGUAUUUUUAUCUCCAAGUAAUGAAAUCAACAUUGACUAUUGAUUCAACCUUUGUCAAAAAAAUUUAAUCAAGUAUGUCUUCUCAUCUUCUUAUUGAUGAUAUUAAGAAUCUUUUUUUCAAGUCUCAUAAUAUUUUAAAAUUAAAAUUUAAAAAAAAUCUACUCUAUAUCAAAGGAUGCCUAUAUGUUCUAAAAAAAAAAAUACGUUUAUGUAUUUUUUAAGCAUGCCAUGAUUUUCCAACAGCUAUAUAUUUUGGAUACAAGAAGACUUCAAAGCUAAUAUCUAGAGAUUUUUGGUGGCUACAAAUGUGGAAGGCAAUCAAAGAUUUUGUUCAAUGAUGUGAUAUUUGCUCAAGAUCAAAAACUUCCUAUCAUUAACCUUACCAUGAACUUUUGUUUCUAUGGAUUUUAUCACAGAUCUUUUGGUCUCAAGUUUGUAUGAUUCUAUAUUUGUGAUAAUGGUUUGUUUUACAAAGAUGGUACAUUUUGUACUAUGUACAAAAUCUAUCACAUGUGAAGAAAUAGCCAAGCUUUUUUUUGACAAUAUCUGUCAAUUUUAUAGAUUGUCCAAGGGUAUUAUAUCACAUAAGGAGACUCAAUUCAUAUCAAGAUUUUAAAGAAUCCUUUUUAAGAUUUUAAAGAUAGAUAUAAAGCUAUCUUUGGCCUUUUAUCCUCAAAUUAAUCAAUAGACAAAGUAUGUAAACCAAUUUUUAGAACAAUACUUAAGGUGUACGAUCAAUUAUCAACAAGAUAAUUGAAAAACCCUCUUACCAUUGAUAAAGUUUGCUUAUAUCAAUACAAUGCAUUCUUCUAUACAGCAAACAUCUUUUUUUGUCAAUUAUGGUUACCAUCUAUGAUUUGAUACUUUUAACUUUCAAAAGUUGACAAUCCUAUAGAAAAAGAUUUGAAAAAUUUUUUGUCAGAGCUACAUGCAACAAUGAAGGUGCAAUUAAAGGAAGCUCCAAAAUGACAAAGGAUCAAUAUGGAUGCCUAUUAAAAAUAACAACUACAAUUUAAUGUAGUUGACAAGGUAUGAUUAUUUUGUUGUAACAUCAACAAUACUCAUCCUUGCAAUAAGUUGGACUACCAUAGAAUUGAACCUUUUCUUAUUUGUGGGCUAAUCAAUUCAGUUUCUUAUCAAUUACAUCUACUAGAGUCAAUAAAGAUCCAUCUUGUAUUCUAUUUAUCUCUUUUUGAAUCAUAUAAGACUGUGAAUAUACCAAGAAGAAGAAAAGUUCCACAUCCUCUAAUAGAAGUAGACAAUAAUGAAGAGUUUGAAGUGAAAGAAAUUCUAGACUUAAGGUGGCACCAAAAUAAAUUGAAAUAUCUUCUCCAUUAGUACAAAUAUGUGUCACGGCCAUAAUCAUGUAAGCUAAUAAUUACAUAUAGAAAUAGGUAGAAGUAAGUAAAAGUAGAUAAAAGUAAGUUAAUUCUAUAAUAUUUAAUAUAAAAGCUUCCUAGAAACUUCUUAGAUGCUGCUUUGACUUCAUAGAUGUCUUUAAUUGACUUUUUGGAUUAAAAACGUGGUCAACAAGUUGGCCAUGUGCCACACAUGUUGUUAGCUUGAAGAUCAAGCUAACUAUGUGGCCCACACGUAGAAAAACUUGCCUUGUAAGUCAAGGCAUGUGUCCUACAAAGUCAACACAUAUUGGAGGUCCUAUAGAACGUUGCCACGUAGCCCCUAGUUAGAUAGUAUACAUAGAGACAAGAGUGAAGGCUUCUUCACUCUUGUCAACUCCUUUCUUGCUUCUAGUCCAGGUUCAAGAGUCUUUGGUUUCUUGUCUUGUGGCAAUAGCCAUUUCAGUUUCCUUUUUUAAUAUACCUACUUGUUUAUAUUUUGACUUAUUAUAUCGAGAUAGCCUUUUUGUGUAUAUUUUCCCUCAUCGAGUCUUUGUCCUUGACAGAUUGACAAGAGUACACUUAUAAUAUCAGAGCUUUAUUUUUCUUGAGUAAGAGUGGAUUACCCCUUUCUCUUGACAAGACAUAAGCAUAUUAGAAGUUUGCGGAUUACCCACUUCUAAACUGAUAUUGUUCUUAGUAUCUUCUUUGUUAUCAAGUCUUUCUUUUUUUUUGUCUUGAGCAGUAUCAAACAAAUUUUUCUUCUUAGUGUCAUUAUGGCAAAGCUUGUUGAAAUGAAGAGUGCAAUGGCACAAAUGCAAGAGCAAAUGAGGGAGUUAAUGCUUGCAAUGCAUCAACUCAAUUCACCAACAUAGGAAAGAACAAGAAUAGCAGAAAGUGGGGAUAUAGAGAUGAUUGGAGCUGCUUCAACAUCUACAACAAAUCACGUUCCUUCUCCAAUUGUACAACACCCUAUAAGCACUAGAGAACCAAGAAUUGCCUUACCCGAGAAAUUUGAUGGUACGAGAUUAAAGUUUCGAGGGUUCAUCAAUCAAGUACAAUUGGCAAUUGAACUUCAACCGCAAAGCUAUCCAACUCCAGGAUCACAAGUCAGGUUUAUUGGCACUCUACUUUCUGGUUCUGCAUUAUCGUGGUUUUCGUCUUUUCUUGAACAACGAAAUCCAAUAUUGGACAAUUUGGAAGUUUUUUUGGCGGAGUUUCAAUCUAUGUAUGGUGAACACGAUGCAACUCGUGUUGCAACAAAUAAGAUCCGAAUUCUACAACAAAGAAAUCGCUCAGUAAUAGUGUAUGCUUCAUAAUUUCGACAACUUGCAAUUGACAUCAAGUGGGAUGAUGCUGCACUCAUCAGUCAAUUUCUUUAUGGAUUGCAAUAUGAAGUAAAGAAAUUGAUGCUCAACUUACCUGAUCCUCAAACUUUGAGUCAAGCAAUCGAUUUUGCGGUAAAAUGUGAUAAUCGACUUUUCGAAUUUUGAUCCGAGAAUCAUUCACGGGAACCUCAAUGUUAUUACUCAAUGGCAACAUCAACAUCUUUGCCAAACGUACAUUCGGAAGUAGAAGACAUGCAAAUUGACGCAGUACGUUUUAAACCCCUAACUGAGCAAUAAAAGAUUUGUCGUCGUCAAAAAGGAUUAUGUUUAUAUUGCGGAGAACCUAAGCACACUGCUCAACAUUGUCCAAAGAAACGACGCAACUAUAAAAUGAGGGGUACGACGGUCAAAGAAGACAACAUGUCAGAAAACGGAUUCGUCCAGCUACAAUAGGGACCGUACAGCUGGAACCUUGUACAAUUCCUAAUGAAGGUCCUAUCCUCUCCUCAGAACCCUCUUCUUAUUUUAUAAUAGACUUAUAUUUAGGACCUAAGAAUUACAAAGCCUCUGCUUUAUUAGAUUCGGGAGCCUCAGCAUGUUUUUUAGAUGAACAAUUUGUUAAAAGUCGUAAAAUACGCUUUGUACAGAAACCUAAACCAGUACAUGUAGAAGUCAUAGAUGAUCGUCCCUUGUCUUCUAGAGAUGUCACUCAUGAAACUCGGCCUAUAAAAGUAACAAUAGACGGUCAUGAUAGCUACAUAGCUUUUAACAUAAUUAAAUCUCCGUCCAAUCCAGUUAUUUUAGGUUUAUCCUGGCUAGAAAAAUAUAACCCUCAAAUAGAUUGGAAUUUACGUAAACUUGAUUUUUCCCAGAGCGUUAUUAAUAGUUCUACCAACCAAGUAAAAAAUUAUAAGUCUAGUAUAGUAAAACCUGUACUGAUAGGUGCAAAAGCAUUUAUACAUGCAGCAAAAGAAGGAUCAACUUUUGCUAUUUAUGCUGCACCUAUUUCUAAAAACGUAAAGACUUCAAGUCGCAUUCCAAGUCAAUAUCAGGAGUAUCAAGACGUUUUUGAGAAAAAGAAUGCAGAUAUUCUUCCUGAGCAUCGCCCAUAUGAUUGUUCAAUCGACCUCAAGGAAGGAACUCAGCCACUAUUUGGACCAAUUUACAGUUUAUCGCAAGAUGAGAUGGCUGAACUCAAGACAUAUAUUGACGAGAAUUUAGCGAAGAAUUUCAUACGCCAUUCAAAAUCUCCAGCAGGAGCUCCAAUUCUAUUCGUAAAGAAAAAAGAUGGAUCUUUACGAAUGUGUGUUGAUUAUCGAGGACUCAACAAGAUCACAAUCAAGAACAGGUAUCCAUUACCUUUGAUAUUAGGACUCCUUGACCAGUUGAAUCAAGCUAAGAUCUAUACAAAAAUAGAUCUAAAAGGAGCAUAUAAUCUAGUACGGAUCAAAGAAGGAGAUGAAUAGAAGACUGCGUUUCGAACCAGGUAUGGACAUUUCGAAUAUAAUGUCAUGCCCUUUGGACUCACGAAUGCACCAGUUGCUUUUCAACAUCUCAUGAAUGAUGUAUUUCGUGAAUUCUUAGACAAUUUUGUCGUCUGCUAUCUAGACGAUAUCUUGAUCUAUUCUAAGAAUGUCGAAGAACAUGAAAUACAUGUUCGUCAAGUAUUACAAAAACUUAGAGAUGCAGGAUUGUACGCCAAGAUGGAAAAGUGUGUAUUUCACACUACUCAAGUUGACUUUUUAGGAUACAUCAUUUCAAAUGAUGGUCUCAUGAUGGAUUCUAAGAAAGUCCAAACAAUCAUGGAUUGGAAGAUUCCAAGGACAGUAAGAGAUGUCCAAUGUUUCUUGGGAUUUGCCAAUUACUAUCGGAUCUUCAUCAAAGAUUUCUCACGAGUUGCAGCUCCACUUACACGCUUGACUAGUAAAGAUAAAUUCCAAUGGAAUCAAGAAGCGGAAGCAGCAUUUGAAGCCUUGAAGACAUCGUUUGUCUCUGCACCAGUCUUAUAUCGUGUUGACUUUUCCAAGGCAUUUUUUAUGGAAACAGAUGCAUCAGAUUUUGCCUUGGGUGCAGUUUUAUCACAAAUGGGAACAGAUGACAAACUUCAUCCGAUAGCUUUUCAUUCAAGAAAAUUCUCAGCAGCCGAGAUCAAUUAUGAGAUCCACGAUAAAGAACUUCUUGCGAUCGUGGAUUCCUUUCAAGAAUGGCGUCAUUAUCUAGAAGGCACUUCUAGUCCAGUCACUGUGUAUACAGAUCACAAGAACCUCGAGUAUUUCAUGUCAGCACGCAUGUUGAAUCGUCGUCAAGCUCGUUGGAGUAUGUCUUUGUCAAGAUUCGAGUUCAUUAUCACUUAUCGGCCAGGAAAACAAGAAGGCUUGUCUGAUGCCCUAUCUAGACAUUCUUAUUUUGCACCAAAAGAAGGAGAUGCAGCUUUUGAGCAACAAAGAACGGUCCUCUUGAAACCGGAGCAAUUUCAUCUCCGAGCAAUGAAAUCAACAUUGACUGUUGAUUCAACUUUUCUCAAGCAAAUCCAGUCCAGUAUGUCCUCAGACCCUCUUGUUUAUGAUAUUGAGAAUAAUUCUUCCAAGUCUCAUGAUCCUUCUAAGUUCGAGUUCAAGAAUAAUCUAUUAUAUUUUGAAGGACGCCUAUAUGUUCCAAAAGGAGAAGCACGUUUACGUGUUCUUCAAGCACGUCAUGACUUUCCAGCAGCAAGGCACUUUGGAUAUAAUAAGACUUUGGAACUCAUAUCAAGAGAUUUUUGGUGGCCACAAAUGUGGAAGUCAGUCAAAGACUUUGUACAAUCAUGUGAUAUUUGUUCAAGAUCAAAAAUUCCUCGUCAUCGACCUCACGGACUUCUUCAGCCAUUACCUAUACAAGAACAACCAUGGUCUCCUGUUUCUAUGGAUUUCAUCACAGAUCUUCCAAGCUCAAGAUCUUAUGAUUCUAUAUUUGUGAUAGUAGAUCGUUUCACCAAGAUGGCACAUUUUGUGCCAUAUACAAAAUCUAUCACAGGUGAAGAAACAGCUAAGCUUUUCAUUGAUAAUAUCUAUCGCUAUCAUGGAUUACCUAAAGAUAUCAUAUUGGAUAGGGGAACUCAAUUUGUGUCAAGAUUUUGGAGGACCCUUUUCAAGAUUUUAAAAGUGGACAUAAAGCUAUCUUCGGCUUUCCAUCCUCAAACUGAUGGACAAACAGAGCGCGUAAACCAAGUCUUGGAGCAAUAUUUAAGGUGUACUAUCAACUACCAACAAGAUGAUUGGACAACCUUUCUGCCAUUGACAGAGUUUGCUUAUAAUAAUACGGUACAUUCUUCCACGCAACAAACACCUUUCUUUGCCAAUUAUGGCUAUCAUCCACGACUUGAUACUUUUGAUUUUUCAAAAGUUGAUAAUCCUGCAGCAGAAGAUAUGGCAAAUCGGUUGUCAGAGUUACAUGCAAUAAUGAAGACGCAAUUAAAGGAAGCUCAAGAACAAAAAAAGAUAAACGUAGAUCUAUAUCGUAAGGAGCAACCACAACUCAAUGUGGGUGAUAAGGUAUGGCUACUUCGUCGCAAUAUCAAGACUACUCGACCUUGUGACAAGUUGGACUAUUGUAGGCUUGGCCCCUUUUCUGUUUCUGAACAAAUCAACCCAGUUGCAUAUCGGUUAUAUCUACCGGAGUCAAUGAAGAUCCAUCCUGUAUUCCACGUGUCUCUUCUUGAACCAUAUAAGACAGUGGAUAUACAAGGAAGAAGACAAAUGCCACCGCCUCCUAUAGAAGUAGAUAAUAAUGAAGAAUUUGAAGUGGAAGAGAUAUUAGACUCAAGGCAGUGCCGAAAUAAGCUGGAAUAUCUUGUUCAUUGGCGCGGAUAUGAUAUUAGUGAAUGCACAUGGGAGUGUCAUGGAUACAAAAUACAGACAAGAAAACUAGACAAGAAGUUCAAGAAGAACUGGAUUAAUCAGAUGAGUACAAGAACAACACCAGAAAGGUGAGCUAGAACUCCAAAAGAUGUGUUGUCGAGAUUGAAGAACCCUUCAGCCUCGACUCCUAUAUAUACUACUGAAUAGGAAACUUCUCGAGCUACUUCCGCUAACUAGGACGCUUCUCCAACAACUUCUACUAAUUAGGAAACUUCUCGAGCAACUUCCUAGAAUCUAUCAAAAUAUUCUAGAAUCUUCUAAGAAUAUUCUAGAACCUUCUAAGAGAAUCUUUAGGGAAUAUUCUAAGAAUCUUCUAGAACCUUCUAAAGGAAUCUUUAGAGAAUCUUUAGAGAAUAUUCUAGAAGAAUAUUGGAAGAAUCUUCCAAUGUAUGUCCAUGAUAGGGAGCCAUCCAGAAAUCUAGCAAAUGCAUCAGCUAAAGUCAAAGUUUUUCAUCAACGACAUCCAUCAAAACUAAGAUGAAAAUCUCUCUUAUAAAAGAGACAAGAUUGAGGCAAGAUAACAUUCAAUUUCCUAUCCUUGUUUGUAACUUCUUUGCAUUUGUGACGCUAAUUAGAUGGAGAGCCAACAACCAGUGGAUUCAACUCAAGAACCUUCGUUUGCUGACUUGCCGGAUGAGACAUUACGAUUGUCACAACCUUCAAGACGACGCAAUCGAGAUGAAGAUCUUCAAGAACAACAUGUUCUUCCUCGAAUAGAUGGUGAGAUACAACGCGUUUGGUAUCACGAUUUGGGAAGGGACUCUUGAUGUUUGGUGUUUUUGCUAAAGGUAGGAACAACUCCUGAUGGUGUUCCAAAUAUUCUAUUCGAAGGAAGUUACGAAGGCCUCAACAAUGAUCAAAUAACUGGGUGGUCUUCCCGCCCUGGUAUGGGACACUACCAAUGGUUGAGAAGCCCUAUCAAUCAUCUUCGAAGAGAACAGAGAUCAGAGUAUGUGGGGAAUACAAUUUGUCGCAUCAUAGAUUUCCUCAACAUAUGAUGACCGCUCCUCGUGGAACUCGUCUCUAGAAGGGGGGGUAAUGUCACGGCCAUAAUCAUGUAAGCUAAUAAUUACAUAUAGAAAUAGGUAGAAGUAAGUAAAAGUAGAUAAAAGUAAGUUAAUUCUAUAAUAUUUAAUAUAGAAGCUUCCUAGAAACUUCUUAGAUGCUGCUUUGACUUCAUAGAUGUCUUUAAUUGACUUUUUGGAUUAGAAACGUCGUCAACAAGUUGGCCAUGUGCCACACAUGUUGUUAGCUUGAAGAUCAAGCUAACUAUGUGGCCCACACGUAGAAAAACUUGCCUUGUAAGUCAAGGCAUGUGUCCUACAAAGUCAACACAUAUUGGAGGUCCUAUAGAACGUUGCCACGUAGCCCCUAGUUAGAUAGUAUAUAUAGAGACAAGAAUGAAGGCUUCUUCACUCUUGUCAACUCCUUUCUUGCUUCUAGUCCAGGUUCAAGAGUCUUUGGUUUCUUGUCUUGUGGCAAUAGCCAUUCCAGUUUCCUUUUUUAAUAUACCUACUUGUUUAUAUUUUGACUUAUUAUAUCGAGAUAGCCUUUUUGUGUAUAUUUUCUCUCAUCGAGUCUUUGUCCUUGACAAUAUGAUAUUAAUGAAUGCACAUGGAAUCCAAUAAAAAAUCUUACAAAUACAAUGAAAAAGGUGGAUGUUUUUUAUCAAUAACAUCCAUCAAAAGUAAGAUGAAGACCUUUUCCAAUAAAAAAAAUAAGAUCUAGGCAAGUUAACAUUCUACUUUCUAUCCUUAUUGUAGCUCUUUUAUAUUUGUAACAUUAAAGAGAUGGAAAACCAACAACCACCAGAUUUGACUCAAGAGCCCUCAUCUGUUAGAUGAGACACUAUUGAUGCUUGAGAGGCCUUAUCAACCAUCUUCAAAGAAAACAAAGAUUAAAAUAUAUAGGAAAUACAAUUCGCCGCAUCUUGGAUUUCUUCAACAUAUGAUGAGUACUCCUCAUAGAACUUGUCUUUAAAAAGAGGGGUGGUAUCAUAGACAUAUACAUGUAAACGAAUAAUUACCUAUAUGAUCACAUAAAAAUAGAUAAAAAUAUGUUAAUUCUAUAAUAUCUUCUAUAGAAGCUUCUUAGAAGCUUCAUAAAUACUAUUUUGACUUUAUAGGUGUCUAUAAUUGAUUUUUUAGGUUAGAAAUGAGGCCAAUAAAUUAACCAUGUGCCACACAUGUUAGUAGCUUGAAGAACAAGCUAAUUAUAUAGCAUAUAUAUAGAAAACUUGCCUUAUAAAUUAAAGCAUGUAUCUUGCAAAGUCAACACAUAUUUGAAGUCUUAUAGAAUAUUGUCACUUAGCUCUUAGUUAGAUAGUAUAUAUAAAGGUAAGAAUGAAGGCCUCUUUACUCUUAACAAUUUUUUUCUUACUUUUAGUCUAGAUUCAAGAAUCUCUAGUUUUCUUGUCUUUGGCAAUAGCCAUUCCAAUUUCUUUUUAAUAUACAUACUACUUUAUUUCUAUUUUGUCACUUUUCUUUUGACAUAGAUUUUCCAUGCUUAUGUAUCUUUUCUAGUUAAUGUCCUUGACACUUUGAUAUGAUUAUGAUAUUUUCAAGAUUCAAACUUAAUAAGAUUUGGACUUCUUUUUUAAUAAUACUAUUUGUAUGAUGACCUUAAAAUGAUAUGGUUUUUGUGAUACUUUUGGAAUGCAACUAUGUUGACAUACAUAUAACCAUAAUAUUAUCUCUUGCAUAUAAUUCUUCUUGAACUUGCUCAAUUUCUUUCCAAUUGCAUGGAUCAAAUUCAGCAUAUCUUUCAAGUCCAAUGUUGAAUGUAACCUCUUCUUUUUUGUAACCUCACAAAUGAUAUUAUAAAACUACUUUAAUUCUAAGAAAAUCUCUUAAAAUAUUUUUUUGUUCAACCUUUGCAUCAAAACAACUAAUUGUCAAUCUCUUAUACAACUUCUUAUUACUACAUAUAUUUUUACAAUAAUUCAAAAUAAAUCUUCUAAUAAUAGUAGAAAAAUAUGAAUAUAAGAUUCAAUAAUUAUUUUUAUAUCUUUCUAUCUUUUUUUCUAAUGUAAACAAUAAGUUCUUGCAUUAUCUUGCAUUAAAAGGUUUUUCUUUUUGAUUUUGAAUGCUUGUAAAUUCUAAUUUUAAAAAAUCCAUGUUCAAAAAAAGUUCUAUUUAUUUGAAGAAAUUGGCACAAAUACACCACUUGUAUGUGCACAUUACAUUAUCCAUCAAAAUCCAAGCAACUUCAAUCAAAUUUACAUGCAUCUUUCAAAAUUUCUUUUAACCUUUAAUUUUUUAAAAACAAGAUCAAUAAUAUAAGUACAUCAAAAGACUUUGUAGUUCAACUCUCAAACUUGUCUUUACAAAAAUUUCGUGUUUUGAAGUAUCUUUUUUAAAACAAGACUUAACUAUUUGAAUUUUUUGUCUAGUAUAUAAGACAAAGUUUAUAAGAAAAACUCCAUUUGUUUGAAAAACCUUCCAAAUGUAUAUUAAAUACACAUGUAUGUUGUAAAAUCUAUUAAUGAAUAAAUAAAUAAAUAAAUCAUAUACUUGUUUUAUAUCUUUUUAAUAUUUUUAACUAACUCUUUAUUGAAACAUAGCAAAAAAAAAUUAAAUUAUUUAAAAAUACCUUACAUUAUAACAAUCAUUCAUCUAUAUAUAUUAAUGCUAUGUUUAUAAAAUUUAUUUUUUGGUACUAAAUCCAUUUAUUGUUAUUGCUUACUUAAUACACAAAACAAAGUCUCCAAAAAUAUUACAGUUACAAUCUAUUGUCUAUCUAUCCACUACUAGUAUACUUCAACAUAAGCAAUUAAAAAUCUCUAAUAAAUUGCAACAAAAUUAUGAGAAAUUACAAGGACUAUAAAAGGUCAAAACAACUAGUGCUAGCUAGUCUAAUUAAUUUUAUUUUUAAUUCAUUUACAAUCUUCUAUUUUAAAACCACCUAUCAAAUUAAAUAUCUAUACAUCUUUAUUUUAGAGCAGUAACUUUUAAAAAAAGCCUAUAUAUUUAUAUUCUUGAAUUUCAAAAACUAGUGUAUUCUUAUUCAUUUUAUUAUAUUUAUAUUUGUUUUAUCAUACCUUGGUUUUUUAUUUUAAAUAUAAUUAGAAUUUGAAAAUUUUAUUUGAUGAUACGAUAAAACUAAAUAAACACAAUGCAUGGAUUGUGUGUGAAUGGAGAUCACUGACAAUAGUAAAAAGAAAUUUAAUCAGAGGCAUGACUAAGACCUUUACUCGACCAGUUCUAAAACCCACUAGAUUAUGUAGUGUGAGCAUCAGCCCCUAUGCUCACACUACAUAAGCAACAAAAUAAAGCGAGGUGAUCUCACCUAUGGCAAUGCUACAAGCUCAAUUACCAUCCUUCAGUCAAGCAGCCGCCCCGAUCUCCUCGAUGCUCGGAUUUCGGUGAUAGUUUGUUGGAUUCAGACGUUACGGGGCUUCAACACCACCAAAAUUCGUAGCAAUCGAAUGAUUGAGCGUUGAACCUUGCUUCUCCAAAUCUAAGUAAUCCAAACUGCCAAGGCAGUGGACCACUCGAAUUGUUCCCAACUUGACUCCAAUUUCAAUGAUACUUGCUUGCUCGGAAAGCUAAGAUAGACAGGUUUCUACCCGAGGAAAUUCAAAAAUCCAAGAGACCGAUUGAAAGAAAAGCGAGGCUCCCAAACAAAGUAGAGACUAACGAAUAAUGGUGAAACUAACUGUGUUGAGGAGUGCACUCACAGGUCGGAAAGCUAACACAGAGAGGCUCCUACCAGAGGAAAUUCACCAACCCAACAGACUGAUUGCAGGAAAACCGAGGCUCCCCCAACUAAGAAACGACUCACGAACAAUGGUGUAUCUAACUGUGUUAAGCACUACACUCCCAGAGCUACCAAGAUCCAGCGAACAUCAGCAUCAGAACUGAAGUGUUUUUGUGGAAAAAAACAGAAAGUAAACAACCCAAAUAGGAUUCUCCUGGCUUGGGCGACCAACUUCUAGUAAUGGAUGCGUGAGAGAAUAAUCGAGAAAACAGAAGAGAGGAAACGAAAGAAAGAGAGAGAGGACACCAGAAAAAGCGAGCCGAGGAAAAAGUAGAGUAGGCAGGCGGACCAAGAGAGGGAGAGAGUCUAGAGACCCCCCUCGUGAAGGAACUGUUCCCGGACCUGGCAUUCGGCUUCCGCUUCCACCGUUCCUGCGUCAACCACAUGAUUGCUCAUCGUGAUAGGACACAUUUAAGGUUAGACUGAACAUACGUGAGAGUAUCUGCCACUGUUCAAUCCCACGUCACGGAAUUGACCACCGCACACACGCCACCCUCGUUGAAAUCUUCCAAAACUGGAGGCUGGUAGUCCAGCGUUGAUUUAUUGAGCUCCGAGACCCAUUUCUCCGGCUACCCCCUAAAUUGGGUGCUGGCCAGCAGAUCCCCCGUGUCCAUCCUUCCGAAUGAAUGGAACGUUUGACGAUAGUCUGGCAUCCUCUCCUGUUGUGAAUGCAGAACACUGUUGCAAGCAUUCAAAGGAAAUCUAAUUAAACAAUUAAUAAAGACAUUCAAAAGCUAGAAAGAAUCUCUUUACAACAGAUUGCUUGAUGCAGGUGGCAGUCUUUCUGUGUAGGAUGGGUGAAUGUCCACAAGAAAUUCAAGACUAGGGAUAUAAAUGGGGUCGGUGAUGUAACUGAUUAGAGGUUCUGUUUCGGCACCAACCAUUGAGCUCUGCUGAAUCCACCGUCCUCGCCAGACCUCCACUUGUCUACUGCAGAGGCAAGACUACGAGGUGCCUUCGUUUUGCUGUUCCGGCAGAGCACUAUUAUCGCAGAGAAACCUCUCACCUCGUCGACCCCUCUUGCUUCAGACUACCUCAUUCGUAUCAGACUGAUCUUGAGUUCCAUCCAUAUCCAACUGACAUGCUUCAUCGUCUUAUUGUCCAAGAUCAUUUGGCAUCGUCCAAAGCGACCCUUGGCACAUGUGACAUAAAAAUUGCUUAAGAUAUCUUAUGCUGCUGUUGUAAAAGAAUGAAUACAUGCUUUUUAAAAUAAAAAAUGAAGUACAUAUGAAAGCAUUUUAUUCAGAUAAGUUAAUUGUUAUUUCUGUGAAACAAGAACAUAUAAAAAUACACAAUUUCUUUCAUUCUGAUGUUUACUGAUAUAACAAAGUAUUUCUUGUGAAUAUGAAUUUUGUGCUUUUGGUUGUACGCUACUGCUACUAAUAAUAUUAUUAUUGGAAUCAUUUUUUCUUCUUAGAUCAAAAAAAAUAAGUAUAAAAAAAUAUUCUAAUAAAAUUACCUUUAUUGGAUUUUGAUAUAUCAAAAAAAGGAAAAAAAUAUAUAUAUCUAAUUUCCAAUUAAAACCAAGUGAUGCUUCUUCUAAUAUUAUGGUUACCCUCUAAAAAGUUUAACUAGGACCAAAAAGAAAACCAAAGGUAUAUUAGAAGAAUUACUAUAAAAAGAAACAUGAGUAACAAUGAGAUAACAUACACCCCAAAUUUUUGAUUUCAACUCAUAAGUUUGGAAAAUUCUCAACAAAAAACAAGAAUAAUACAAAUGGAGAUACCAAACAAAGCAUCAAUUUGGUUUUGAGAAGACAUUGAUUUACCCACUGAAUCAUCAAUUUCUUAAUAAAAUUCAUCCGCUGUUUCAUUCAUCCAUUUAUGCGUUGUGCGAGGGACUGCAUGGAGCGAGGGCCUCGUUACUCCGCCCUGGAUGGCGAAACCCUAAUUUGCGCUCGACAGCACCUCCAUGGCUCUCACUCACUUUGCAGAAGAGGAAGGAGAAGAAAAGAAAGCUCGAAUUUGUGUCAUGCCUGUUCUCUGUUGAUGGAUUACACCCCAGCCUUAUCUGUCUUGUGACCAUGAUCAUGCCCACAAUCUCUGCUGCGUAUCAGGAUUUGAAGGGCUGGGGGUGUUUGUCUGACGAGGAUCAUACGUAGCCCCACUCUGCAGUUGAAAUGCACAUGGGGCUCGCUGUGUGGAGCGGGCUCUCUGCCCAGUGUUGUCCCACGCUGCCAAUUCUCCGCACUCACAGUAGUGGAGCCAGCAGCAUUGUUCCCUCAAUUGCAAGCAGAACCAAUUUUUGGGAUGGCCGGGUUGAGGUGUGGCGACGACGCGAACGUGCUGCAGGAUGGGAAUGUGGCUGGUUUGUGGAGAGUGUUGCAGAAUCCAUGUCUAUACGGAGGGGGAUGUUAGUUGUGACGAAUGCUAGUAAAAGGAGGCGGUGGAAAAGCGAGCCCUUGGUGAAUGGUAGCGUAACAAAGAGAGCACUGCAUAUCGUCAAAAUCUUACGCUCAUCGAGUAAUCUUUUGCCGGAUGAAAUCGAUGCAACUUUGCAGAAAUGGGUGACCAGUAUGCAGCCGAAUCGAAAGGAUUGGCUUACUGUGCUGAAGGAGUUUGACAACAGGUUGGAACGACUUCUCUACUUAAAGGUACGGUGUUGUGUUGCGCUGCUUACAUCGAUUUGAGGAAAGUAUCCAUGCUGAGGUGAUUUUGGUCGAUUUUUUAAUGUUUCCAGCAGCUUGUGCAUUUUGGUGUGUGAGUCCUUCAGAAUUGAGUGAAUCCAUCACUUUGGUAGGCUUUUAGAGAGCACUGGAUAUGUCGUGAAGUGACAAAUCUGAGCCCUACAGAUAUUCGAAUGGGGGCUCCUGCAAAGCUGGUUUGAGGCGGGCGUUCGAGACUAUACCAAAUUGAUUGAUAAGUAUGGCAGGGAAGGGAAUGUCGUUGAAGCGGAGCAGAUGUUCCGCAUUAUGGAAGAACGCGGAAUACCGGCGGAUUUAGGUGCUUUCACCGUGCUGAUAGCAGCUUAUGGACGGGCUAAAAUGCUGGAAAAGGUUAAGCAAGUACUGCAGGAUGUGUCGCUAGCAGGUCUGGAACUAGAUGCCGUUUUUUACAAAACUGUGAUUGUAGCUUACGGAAGCGUAGGAAUGCCUAAAGAAGCGGAGGAUGUAUUAAGCAGCAUGGAAUCAGCUGGGGUGCCAGAUGGGAAAGACGCCUACCUUGCUUUACUGAAUGCAUAUGGGAGGCUAGGCCAUGCUUCUGACGCCCAAAGGGUAUUCGACCGAAUGCAUUUGAAGGGUUUUAGAGGGGAUUUGAAAGCUUUUACUGCACUGUUGGAAGCUUACAGCAAUGCACAAGACUAUGCAAACGCAGAGCUCGUCUUUCAGAGCCUCAGAGCGGCAGGUCUAAAACCUGACGAUAGAGCACUCGCAAGUAUGGUUUCAGUCUAUGCCAAAGCGAACAUGUUAAACAGGGCUGCGGAGGUCAUAGUGGAGUUGGAGGGUGCUGGGAUGAGAUUUGGGCCAGUUACUCUGACGUCCCUAAUUGGAUGGUUUGGUAAAGCUGGGCUGGUGGAGGAGGCCAAGCAUUGCUUCCAGGAAUUGAAACGAAAGCGCCUGCCCAUUUCAGGAAAAGCAUAUGCAAAUAUGUUUGCUGCCUAUGCUCGAGCUGGUGAGCUUGAAACUGCUGGCAGCAUCUGGGCCAGUAUUGAAGAAGCCGGAAUCGAACUAGAUCACCGCGAAUGUGCAGUCAUGGCGGAGGCUCUGCUAGCUGGGAAGGUCCAUGAACAGAGCGUCGAGAUCUUCUUUGAAGCGUUGCAAGCCCGAGGGUGGAAGUCACUGACAGCUGUGGAGGUUGCAGUCGCUGAUCGCAGGCAAGUGAUGGCUUGAACUGGACUACACAUCACUCAACUUCAGUCUCGCUGAAUUAGACAUGUCCUGGAACGAGAUUCAGGGGAAUGUAUGCAGACAUGGCUUGCGUCCUCGAGUAUUCAAUUCAGUCCCUUGAAGUAACCAUAUUUGUGCAAUGUGAUAAAUGGUAGCAUCCACUUCGUGCAGCAUAUUGGCUCCUUUCACGGAUGCGUUCCUUCACGUGGCUCGUUCUGUGAGAAACGGGACAGUAAUAUUUGACCCCUACGGAUUGUGGAUGGAUGCGUAGGCGGGUAUAUUGUGUGGUAUUAUCAGUGCCUCACAUGUCUCUUGGGAGACAUCUGAUUAAAUCAGAACGAUACAGAGAAGAUUAAUAUGGCUUGCGCUCGGAUGACUCACUCAAACCGAGAGAAUAGUCCGAAUUUUUUUCUGUUUUUCUGGCUCGCUCAUUGUUCCUUUAGUAGUCUGCAAUCUCGAUUUUCUUUUUGUCACGGUUGUUCACAAUCAUCGUGGCUGAUCAAAUCCCCUAUUCCAUGUGUACCGUGCUCGCAUGCAAAUAGCCGAGGGUGCUAUUUCCACGAAAGCAAGCAUGGUAUGGUAUGUUGAUGUCUUGUGUAAAGGAGGCAAGUAUGGCUGGAGAUGAGAUCCAGUGUGGCGGACAAGAAGUAUAUACUGUGUUCCUCCACGAUAUGAUUGGAGUGAGGAAUAAUGAUGGAGAAUGAGGACACGCAUCCAAUUGAGUUGCUGCAGCCAGCGUGUAGACGCGUUUUAGCAAUGGAUGCGUUCAUGUGAUUGGUUGUGUGAGAAAAGGAAUCGGAAAUGUGUUGAUACAUAUGGAUUGGAGGUGGAUGAUUAGAGGGUAAUAUUACACGGCGGUACAACAUCUGUGCGUGUCAUUUCGGAGACAUCUGCGCGAAGUAUUGACCCACAUGGAUUGAAGGUGGAUGUUUGGAGGGUAAUAUGCGAUGGUGGAAGAGCAGGAGUACAUGUCUCUUCGGAGACAUGUGAUAAAAUUGGAACGAUACAGAGAAGAUUAGCAUGGCCCCUGCGCAAGGAUGACACGCACAAAUCGAGAAAUGGUCCAAAUUUUUUCCUUAACUUUUCGCUGAUAGCCAAAGGAGCAAAUUAGUGAAGCUAUUCAUCAAAAAUGAACGUUGGCUCUAAGACAUGUUUGUUGUUCUCUCUCUGAAUUUGGAGGCUAUUUGCUGUUCAGCUAUUAUAGCUGACUAAGUGAAUCUCUGGUGUUAUUCUUCUUGAAGCGAAAACUUUGAUACACAUUUUAGCCCAAAAAGUAGCUUGCUGAGCGCUUCAUAGCGCUUGGAUUGUCAACUCAGAUUCUUCUGAGUUACAAUGAAUAAGCCUCAAUUGAAAUCAGUCAACGAAUUGUGGACAAAAAAAGCUGCCAGUUUUUAGCGUGACUUAUGUCCUAUAUCUUGAUGUGACUUAAUUUGAGCUCAAUCAGAUUAUCCGCUUCCAUCUUGUUCAAUAUAUCUUUCUUAAAACCUCAUAUCACAUUGGAAGUAUGCUGAUGCUUUCGGUGCUCCCAGUGAUUCAAAUCAUGACACGACCUGCCUAGGGACUUUGUGGGUAGCCUAUUAGUCGUCCAGUGGAUAGAUAUUGCUGCUGGUCCUGUUGAAUUUGGUCCCUCCACUUCAGGAGAGGGCUACUUCAGCUUUUAUAAUUACUGUCUUGGAUUCGGCGUCACACUGAACAAUCUUUAAAAUUUAGUGGUUACUGAUCAACAUUUUAGCUGAUGACGAAUGCCUUCAUUACAUGCAACGCGAUUCUUACCUACAUUUCAUGGUGAUACACUGAGCGUUGAUGUUAUUGCGCUUCGAAUUCAAAGUCACAUGGUGGGGUUGAGAAAUAAGUCAUUAGUUCCUCAAGUCGAACCAGAUGAACAUGAUAAGUAGUAACAGUUGCUAGUUCUUGUCCCUGCUUGCCAGAUCACGAAGUUUGCAGUGCUAUUCCUUACAACACGUCCAGAAUUUGUUCUCAACACCAACUUUGCAUGUUGUCUCACUUAGAUUGCGACUUGGUUUCCAGAAUCCGACUCUGCGCUGCGUCUCACAUGGCUUUUUGAUAUUUUCAGGUGAUUACCGCUGCUAGAACCAUAGUGCCUCAAGCGAUGAUGGAGCUCAGUUGUUACGGGCGUCAAUUGCUGACGUCGACAAAGAGUCUAGAAAGCCUUACAACUGGUGCGCUUCUUCAAAGUCUCUUUGAGGUGGCACCCACCCAUGUCACGUGGAGUUCUCAGCAUAACAGCAUAGUGAUGGAUUAUCGACGGGGGUAUUGGUCACACUAAAAUUGGGCCGUUUCCAGAGGGUUCUAGCAGUUGGGCACGGUAAUACUCUUGGUAUACACCUGAAACAAGCGAGACAAAUAUGUUGUGAAUAAAAAUUUUAAAACUCUAACAGUACAGUCCCAUUCAAUGGCAUUUCGUUUCACAUGUCUGUUCUCUCAAAGCAUGAGCUUCAGUAUUCUCUUGAAAUCUCAGUCGCAUACGAUGGAAUUGUGGCGAUGAGUAGUGAACGUAGACUAACAGCUUACUUCAAAUGACGACAAUAACUUGGCAAAUAUGCGUGCUGCAUCCGAACAUCACCAUCUGUGGUGGAGUAAACUUAUUCGACUUUUACCUCUUGUUGGUUUCAUGACAACUAAUAUGGAUUUCUGUACAAUAAUGUAGAUAAUGCGACGUCUCUCCUGUACUAGUUGAACAAGGCAAACAAGAGAUUGCUGUGCCUCAAAAUCCCAGUCAGUUACUUCGAUCUUGGGAGACCUGAAACAUAAACCCUUGGCAACUAAAUCGCUGGAAGGUCAAGGGACAAGAAGGCUUACUUAAUUAAGAUUAUGAAAUGGGACACGACCUUUUGUGGAACUACAUUGUGUGUAGUCUUUGCAGAGGAUGAAUGAGGUGGUAAUAAAACUGUUGAUGUGGUGCAAGGAGACGAUGCGACAGAACCCUUGAGCUCCACCCACAGCAAAAAUUUCAUUUUUCAUCUGCAAAUGCCGUUAAUGAAUCCUUGUUUCUCCGAGGUUGUCAAUGCUGGGGGUUCAGUUUAGAAAGUGCUGGCUGGUGACUAUGAAUACAUUGGAGAGAAAAUUGUGCAUGACCUCAAGAGCGUGUGCUUUGCCAGCAUAAACCCUGCAGCUGUGGAUUCAAUCCCCUCUUUACCUCCAUUUACAUGCUUGGGAACUUCGGGUAUAUUUAGGCUACCUUCAACUUUGCAUGAGUGGACUAUAAAAUGAUAAUAUUGGAAAGUGAUAAUAGAACCUGUAAAGAAGGAUUUGAAAGAAUCAACCCAUUUGUUGAAUAUUUUUUUUACUUAUUUUUUUAUAGUUAUCCACCAGUCUAAUUCUUAAAAAUAAAUAAAUAAAUAUGAGUAAAAUUAUGAAUACUUCAAUAAUGGAGAAGAACUUAAAACGCUUUGAAAGUAUUCUUCCAACUAUUCCUAAAGAAUAUUUAGAAAAACGAAAAAAACACAUUGAAGAAAAAACCAUUCAAUUAGCUGAAGAAGCUAAAUUCUAUGAAAAAGAAAGAAGGGAAGAACGUCUUUAUAAAAAGAGGUGGAAAAUAGAAAAUGCAGAAAUAAAACAAAGAGAUAUAGAAAGAAGUCGAGCUAGAGAGAGGCUAAGAGAAAGAAUUCUUCAACUUGAAAAACAACGAGAUGUUGAAAGAGUUAGAAAAGAAGAAAUUGCAUUCAUUAAAGAGAGACAACGAGGGCGAGAUUUACAAAGACAAAAAAAUGAGAAAAGAGAAAAAGAAAGAUCCCUAGAGCGAGCACAUGAACGAGGCUUAAAAGAUGAUAGAAACCAAGAAAAAGAUGCAAUUAGAGCAAAUGCUUUAGAAAGAGCAAAAACUAGAAAACGUUGGAGAUUAGCUGAACGUAGACGAGAAAAGAAAAGAAAAAUUAUAUGGCAAGAAGAAAGAAAAAAAGAACUUCAAGAAAAGACCAAGUGGAAUAUGGAAAGACAACACGAUAAAGAACGAAGAUAUGAAAUGCAUAAAGAAAGAGAACAAGAAAGAAACAAUGAACGAGUAGAUUUACAUUGUCAAAUAAUAGAAACUUGGAAUGAAGGUAGACGAGAAAGACUACGUAUAAAAGAACAUGAUCUCAAUUGUCUUAAUCAAAAGAAAUUAGAUAUGGAGUAUAUGAAUGAAAUAUGGAAACAUGCAAAAAGAAAUUAUGAGAAAAAUAAAGCUAAUUACCAACAUGACACAGAAGUAGCAAAAUUAAAAAUAAAAAAUUGCUCUUUGGCAAAGAUGGCAUGGGAUGAUGAAUGCACAGACAAGAGAGAUUGGCAAAAAGAACAAGAACGUGAUAAGCUAAAUUGCAAAAAAUGGAAUUCACAAUUAAAAAGACUUUUGUUUAGAUUCAAAAAUUCUUAAAUAAAGUUAUGUAUAUAUAAAUAUAUAUGUAUAAGUAUGUAUCUUAUAGCAUAUUUUAAAAUUUUAAAUUAUCAAAAUAACAUCAAAAUAUAUUAUCUUACCAUAGAUAAUAUAAUAAUAACAACAAAUUUGUUUAAAGAUAAAAAAAUAUGUCAAUUAUAAUCUUGAAUCUGUGUUUUAAUAUUUUUGUAUUGAUAAAUUUGUAUAAAAAUAAGAUUAUUUAUUUAUUUGAAUCUUGUCAUAAUAUGAGAAAAUUAUUUUAUUAAUUAUUUUAUGUAUUUUUAAAAAUAUAUCCUAUUAAAAUAUGAAGUAUUUCCAUAUAAUUGUGUUUAUAAUUUUUAUCAAUUUAAAAUUAUGCAGAUAUUAUUUUAAAUAUAUUAUGAUAAAAAAAAAAUUUAGAAAAAAUCAUUAUAUUUAACAGCGAUAAUAGAUGCUCAAAGAAUUACCAACAACAAAUUUAUUGACUUAAAAGAUAUCAGAUAAUGAAAUAUUUUUAAAGGAAAUUAUAUUUCUUACACAAAAUCAUUGUAACAAAAAUAAGAGUAUUUUUAAAAAUAUUUCUAUUUUAAAUAAGAAGAAUUUAAUAUCAAUAUUUAGAAAAAACUAUUGUGUUUUAGAAAUAAUUUUAACAGUAAUUCGUUUUUGUAGUAGUAGUCACCAACAUGUAGCAAUGAUAUUAGAGUUUAUAUGAAUUCACUUUAUUUUUAGUAAUAAUUUGUUAUAAACUGAGAAUACAAGUUUUGAAGUAGCUUUUGGUGGCAACUUGAGGUAUUAUAAAGAUUGAUUUUAGAUUUUAAAAACAUAUGUUGUAGAGUAUCUUUUUGAUUGAUUUCAACAUGUGUUGGUCAUUGAAAUAAAAUAAAAUAAAAUAAUUUACUUAUAAGAAGAUCACUUGGAAGUGGUGUUAGAAUUUUCGAUGAAGCUAAGAUGCAAAUGCCAUCAAAGGAAAUAAUAUAUUUGGUAAAGCAGUACUGCCAUAUAAUUUUGAAAUAAAGGAAAAUUUAAAAAAUCAGCCAUAAAUAAAUUAACCUAGAUUUUGAAUAUUUAGGUAAUCAAAGAAAAAAAAGUAAAAAAAUUGGGUUGAGCCACUAAUAAUUUAUUUGCAUGUGUGGAUUAACACAAUUUUAUUUUUUCUAAUUUAUAUAGGUGUCAAAGCAAAAAUCAUGAAAAAGCUAAAAUGUCCUUGAACAAAAUUCGUAUUAAAGCUUGCAAUAUUAUUUUAACAAUUCAGAAUAUAUAUAAAUUCAUUCAUAAGUAUGUAGUCCUUGAAGUUACUUCUAAAAUACAAAACACAUCUAAUAUUCCAUAAUAUAGAUCACUAAAAUAAUUUAAUAAAAUCACAGUGCAUUAAGAACAUAAUCGAGUGGUUUGACCACCACUCCAAUAGCUAAAAUAAACAAAUAAAAAUAACAUUUAAAAAGGAAAUUUAAAUUAUCAGAUAAAUACAAGUAACUGAUAAAGUGAAAUAAAUUACUAAUAUUAUAUAUAUAUAUAUAUAUAUAUAUCGAGAGAGAGAGAUAAAAUUA